UAGAACAAGUUUUUCUUAGGUUUAUAAACAACACUUUAUCUCAAGAUUCUCUAAGACACACAUAAACCUAAUAUUUGAUUUAAUCCUCAUUUUAGCCCUCUGAGUCUUAUUCCCAUCUUAUACAUGAGGAAAUUAAGGAACUGGUAACUUAACAUUCAUCACAGCAUAUAAUAGUAAAAUACUACAAAAUGAAAGGAGAGAAUAUAAAUUUCCAAUGGUAGGCAAAUUGCAUUAAAUUAAUUAUGGUACAUUCAUUUGAUGCAAGUAUUUUAAAAACAUUCAUUAUCACCUUAAUAUGUUCUCUUCCAUUCCUAGUUUGCUAAAAGUCUCUAUCAUAAAUAGAUGUUGAAUUUUAUUAAAUGUUUUUCUAUAUCUACUGAGAUGAUCAAAUGAUUUUAUCCUUUCAUCUGUUAAUUUUAGUUUGCAUGAAUGGAUUUUCUAAUGUUAACCUACCUUGCAUUGCUGAGAUAAAACCAACUUUGUAAUGAUGUGUUAUCUUUUCUAUACUUAGCUAGAUUUAAUUUGCUAAGCUUUAGUCAUAAGUGAGAUUGGCUCAAAAAUUUUUUUCUGUGAUUUUUUUUUUCAGGAAUGCUUUUCAAAAUAAUUGAAAUUACUUGCUACUUGAAUGUAUGGUGGAACUUGACAGUAACACAGUUUGGGCCAGAUGUUUUCUUUGAGAAAAGAAGUUUUACUAACUGAUGUAGUUUCUGACUUAUUUAGGUUUUCUAUUUCUUCUUGAGUCAGUUUUGUUACAGUUUCAGUUACAUGUACAUGUUUUUGUUGAAUAUAUAUGCAGGAGGGGAAUUUCUGGAUCAUAAGGCAGGCAUAUGUUCAGUAGAUACUAUCAAACCAUUUUCCAAAAUGAUUGUAUCGGUUUAAAAAUUUAUACUCCAGGAGUGUAUGAGGGUUCUAAUUAGUUCACAUAUUUUCCAAAACUAGGCGUUUUCCGUUUUUGUUUGUUUGUUUUAGUUAAGCUUUUCUGGUGGGUAUGUAGUAAUAUCAUAUUGUUUAAAUUUGCAUCUCCCUAUAGACUAAUGAGGUUAGGCACCACUUUGUAUGUUGACCAUUUGGGUAUCUUGUUUUGUGAGAAGCCCCUUCGGGUCUUAAAAAUGUGAAAAAAAAUUGUGUUGUUUUAAAAAUUAAAUUACCUUUCUUACUGAGUUGUAGGCAUUUUAAAUAAUAUAUAUUUUAGUUAUAUCCUUGGUAGGAAAUAUGUGUUACAAAUAGCUUCUCUUUUUCCGUGGUUUACCUUUUUACUCUUUUUUUAGGAACAGAAAUUUAUUGUUCUAUGAAUUUCAUAUAUUACUUUACCUUUACAUUUCUAUCUAUAAUAUAUCUGGAAUUGAUUUCAUUGAACAUGGUGUGAAGUACACCAUGUAAAGUGUUAAUUUUUUUUAUGUGAAGAUUCAGUUGAUUAAGCACCAUUCUUUUGCCAUGGCACUAUGUAUCUAUUUUGAUUAGGAUUACUGAGGGAUGAUGAACACAUAGUAAAAUUCAUUCUCUUAAAAUAAAUGGUUUGAUAAAUUUUGAACAAUGUAAUCAUUGUUUUACCUCACAAUCAAGAGGUAGAAUGUAUCUAACACCUGAAAGUGUGCACCUUUGUAGAAAAUCUACUCCCUCUACCUCUAGCCUGUGACAACCACAAGCUGGAUUUGUCUCUAUGGUUUACCUUUUUUCCAGAAUGUGUAAAUGGCAUCAUAUAGUAUGCAGCCUUGGUUUCAGAUUUUUUUCACUUGGCAUAUUGGUUUUUUUUGAGAUCCAUUCAUGCUGUCAUAAGUAUCAGUGGCUUAUUCCUUUUAUUAUUGAGUAGAAGAAUUCCAUGGAAUAAUAUACCACAAGUUUAUCCAUUUACCAAAUGAGGAACAUUUGGGUUGUUUACCAUAUUUAGCUACUAGGAAUACAGCUGCUACAAACAUUCAUAAAGAGGCCUUUGUGUGAACAUACGUUUUCCUUUCUCUUGGGUAAAUUACUAGGAGUGGGAUUAUUGUAUCAUAUGGAAAGUAUAGCAAGUAUAUGUUAAACAUUAUUCUAAAAUAUCCCCAAACUGUUUCCAAAAUGACUGUGCCAUUUUACAUUCUAAUCAGCAAUAUAUGAAUGUUUUAGUUGCUCCAUAGCUUAUCUAGCACUUGGUAUUAUCACUCUUUGUAAUUUUAACAAUUGGAGUAUAUAGUAUUAUCUCAUCAUGGCUUUAAUUCUCAUUUCCCUAAUGAUAUUGUGCUACUUUGCCAUCUGCAAAUCUUCUUUGGUGAAGUGUCUCUUCAAAUCAUUCAUCCAUUUAAAAGAUAAUUUGUCUUAAUGGUAUGUAACUACUUGGAAUAUAUUCUGGAUACAAAUGCUUUAUUAAAUAUGUGCUUUGCAAAUAGCUUUUCUCAGUUUCUAGUUUUUUUUUUUAAGUUCUAAAAGUAUUUAAAGAGUAGAAAGUUUUUCAUUUUGGUGAAUUUCAAUUUAUCAAUUUUUAAAAAUGGAAGAGUAGUUUUAAGUACUAUUUAGGAAAUCUUUGCUAAAACGAAUGAUGCAAAGAUUUUCCUAGAAAUUUUAAAGCUUUAAGCUUUAUAUUUAGUUAUGUGAUCCAUUUUCAGGCAAUUUUUAUGUCUUUUGUGAGGUCAGGAUAAAGAAUAACUUUUUAUAUGGAUGUCCAAAUUUUCCAGCACCACAUAUUGAAAAAAUUACCCUUCUCCCAUUUUAAUUACUUUACAUCUCUAUCUUUGUCUCCCCUCUUUGCUACUCUAAUUAUAUGCAUAUUGGACAAUUCCAUACUGUUUGACAACUCUUGCAUGAUCUUUUUGUUAAUAAAUAUUCUUUCUCUUUGGAUUUCAGUUUGGAUAAUUUCUAUUAGUCUAUCUUUAAGUAUAUUUGUUUUCUAUAGCUUCCCUUUCUCAUAUAAGAUUCUUCAUCUUGUCUUGCAUUUUCUCUCUCUUUUCCAUGACAGCCUUUAGCAUAUUAAUCAUAGCUAUUUUAAAGUCUCUGAUUGUUCUAAUAUCUGGCCAUCUCUCUUUCUAGCUCUGCUGAUUGCUUUAUCUUGACAAUGAGUUAAGGUUUUUUUGCUUUUUUGAGUGUCUUGUAAUUUUGAUUGCAUGUGGGACAGUGUUUGUAGGAGAGCAGUGGAUAACAAAGUAAAUGAUAUUGCUAUUGUACCCAGAUUGGAUAUACUUUUUCUUCUGUAAGAUUGUUGGUAUGAAGGUUGAAUCAAUCUUGUUAGUCAUUAACAAGACUGGUAGUUAGUAUUGAGUUUGGGUGGAGUUCAGUUUGUGAUUGCUGUAGUUACUUUCAGUGUACUAGACUCUAAAGUUCUCUAGUGGUUGACUGCAGUGACCUUAUGCUUGGCUUGCCAGAGGGUUUUCUCCAUGUCUAAGCUCCACCCUUAGCUUUCAGCAGACUUUUCACCCUUGCUUUACAAAGGUGACCUCUCUCUCCAUGUUUGUGCUCUUUUCCUAGCAGUAGAUUGCUCUGGUUCAUUGUGCUGGGCAGAGCUGUGGAGGUGGUGGUGAGUUCUCAGUUCACGUGGAUCAGCCCCAGUCUUAGGUAGGCCUUUUGUUUCUGGGCCUUGGGACUGCAGCUUUGUUAGUGUUCCUGCUCUUCUUCAAGGCAGCCAAGCUUUGCCUUGUAUCUGUGGAGUGUUUUGUGUGGGAGAGAGUUUCUUGCCCUUCCUUCAAUGGUAACAGACCUUUUGUUUGUGUUAGUGCAGGAUCCUGGACCUGCAAGUUUCUUUUCCUUCCCUUAGGGCAGAUGGCAGGCUUUUGCUUGUACCCCUUCCCAAGAAUCAGUGGAUCUUUGCUUGGGCCUUGGGGCUAGGAAGGUGUUUUGCUUCUCUACCAGUUGUUGAAAGCUUUUGCUUAAUGUGAAAUGAAGUUUGGGAAGUGGAUGGAAUUUCCUGCCUGUGCUCUACUAAAAGGAGAACUCCCCAAUCUCCAGCCCUACCCUUUUUCUUUUAAAUGAGCAUUCAUUGCAGAGUCCUGGCAAAAAGCUUGAGGGAGACCUGGGGCUCAUCUCAUGUUUCUGAGGCUCCCAGUGAUACCGUCAUACUAGCCCACACUUGCCCUUUAGAAAUUCAUUAACAUUUUAGCUGUUUUCUUAUUCCUGUGUUCAUGAUGGCUGCCUCUUCCUACUGUGCCCUGCCAAAGGGGACAGUGUGUGUGACCCCUUCCACCUUGGAAGGACAUGUCACUCUUGGUAAACUUAGUUCACUUGGUUGCCUUGUGUCCUUAGCUCUCUAAUGGGCUCAAUACAAGCAUGAUUUUGUUGAUGGUGAAGCUUUUCUUGUUGUUAGGAUGAGAGUGAUGUUCUCCCUGGUUUUCUGUAUCUUACUUGGUUGUAGAACUGUGUUGCAACUUUUUAAGAGUCACUGGUUUGAAUAAAAAUUUUGGUUGUAAAUACAGUUGCCAUUCAAAAAUGAAUGGAAACUGAAUCAAAAGAAGGCAAUAAAACUACAGUCUAAAACUUAAUAGGAAAAUUGAGAGGACUUAAAUUUUAUUCUUUUCUUGGGUUGGCUGUGUUUGGCAGUUUUCUUUGUUCCUUCUCAGGAAAUACAUGGCUACAAUGGCAGGAAUAUCGCAAUAGAAUAGCUUUAUUCUGAGGUCUGUGGUAAAGGAGAGGAAGAUUGGCUUCUCCCUGCCAUAAAUACCUUCAAGACAGGGUGAUGAGAAAGGGAGAAAAAUGAAAAAAAUCCAAAAAUGAGACAGUAGAAUGGGCAUUCUGGGGAAGUUUACAGAUUCUCAGAAGAGGGGUAUACAAUUAAAGAUCCUAAAGAAGGACUGCUGAUGUCUAUGGGGUCAAGAAGUGCAUCAUUCUAAUUCCAGAACUUACUGAUAUCCUAGCCAUCUCGGGAGCAUCACCUCAAGUUUCAGCUUCAAUAUAUUAACCAUCUACAUCCCUGCUAUUGCUAUUCCAAGGGUGGUCCAGGGGCCAGCAUCAUCUGCACGCACUGAGAUCUUGUUAGAAAUGGAAAAUCACAGGUUCCAUCUCAGACCUGAUGAAUCAGAAUCUGCAUUGCAACAAGAUCCCUGAAUGAUUCUUGUGAACUAGAAUGUUUAGGAUGUGUACUAGAUGUGGUGUUUUACAUAAUCAUGGUUUCUAUGUUUUUUGUAGUCAACUUCGUAUUUGAGAUUAAAAUCUCUCAAAGUCAAAAUGUUGUGAAGGUAACUCUACUGUAAGAAUAAUCUGGGGGUAUAGUGCACAGAAUUAAGGCAUUUAAAUGCAUUUCUAGUUAAAUUAUCAGUUUAAUUAAUUAUUGAUACACUUAUUUAAAACUUAUUAUUUUUCAACAUUGUUUUUGAGGUUUGUGGUCCUAGCAUUUAAAAACGUUAACUCUUUUUUGUAGCAGGGAUUUUUCUGGUGCUUUCUCUCAUAAAGAGGUUUUUUUUCCUUUUUUAGACCUAUUGCUAUGAUCCAAACAUUUUUAUAACCCCCAGAAUUCAUAUGUUGAAACCCAACCCCUAAAGAGAUGGUUUUAAGAGGUGAGAGUCUUUGGGAGGUAAUUAGAUUAUGAAAAUGGAGCCCUCAUGAAUGGAAUUAAUGCCAUAAUAAAAGAAACUGGUGGGAAUUUUGCCCCUUCCAUCAUCUGAAGAUAUAGCAAGAAGGUACCAUCUAUAAAUCAGGAAGAGGACCCUCACCAGAUGGUGAAUCUGCGGGCACUUGAAUCUGAGACUUUCCAGCCUCCAGAGCUGUGAGCAGUAAAUGUUGCUUAUAAGCCACAAAAUCUAUGGUAUUUUAUUAUAGCAGCCCAAAUGGACAGAGACCCCCAUGAAGCCUGCUUCCUAGGGCAAUCCUGUCCUCUCCAUAUUGGUUUUAACUUAAGAAGCAGGUUCCUGCAUAAAGUUGGUAUUGAUGCUUCAAAAACCUGGCCCACAGGGUUGUAGCAAGGACCUGUUCCUCUGACAAGGUUCUUGCCAAGAGCUCUCAACUUUUUAAUCUUCCCAACUUUGAGUAUCUUGUUAUUCAGCGAAAGGGGUGUGCUGCCAAAAUUCUAGUUUUUUCAACUCUUGGUAAAGGUUAAUUUUACAUUUAUCCAAAUUCUUAAGCUGUUCUCUUUCCUUUAAUUCCAUAGAAAAUGCUAGCUGUGAUUUCUUGAUUAUAGCACCUGCUUUUCUUUUGCCUUUCCUUUUGUUUUUGGACUCAAGUAUUUUAAGCUCAUUCCUUUCCCUGCUUAGGAAGAGGCAUGAAGUCAAAACAUUCUGGCAACAUCAUUAAUUUUUUUAACUUAUCUUGUUCAGUUUGGGACCGUUACCUAUGUGUUCUAAGCAGGGAGCCAGAGGAGGGCACAAGACCGUGCCACCCCGUGGAGUCAGCCCAGGUAAAGAACUGUUCUGGUUGCCCUGGUCAGUGAAUUCUGCCAUAGUCUCAAUGAUCACCCUUAGCUUCAAAGGAGGCUGAGAAAUGUAUCUUGAAGUUGGGCAUGUUCUUUCUGCAAAAGCAACUGUGGUUUGGCUUGCUAUGGAUGGAGAACUAAAUGCAGACAUCAGACCAACGGGGAGCUAAGUAUUAGUAGUAGGACCAGUGCUGCUAUAUUGGAGAAUGAGCUUAAAUUAUAAACAGAUUCAUCUAUAAUGAAGCCUCCUAUUACUUUGAUUGCUAAAAUCUUUCAUGGAAAAGAGAAAUACAUGCUGCUGAGAUCACAGGGAUGUACGUAGCCCACCAUGCACUUACCCACUCUCAGUCUCAGCAAUUCAGUUCACUCUCUUGAGGAAGCAUGGAGGGAUAUAGUGAGGUGGAAGAACCAUCUUCUAGUAGUUUCAAGAAGAUAAACAGUUUUGUGUGCCCAGGGAGGAAUGCUGAAAAGUAGAGAAUGCUUUUUCUUCUAACAGUUAUGUAUUUAUAUGUGUGGUGGUAUGUAUACGUGUGUGUGUGUGUGUGUGUGUGUGUGUGUGAGAGAGAGAGAGAGAGAGCGAGAGUGCAGGCAUAUGUGUGUAUGUAUAAAAACACCUGACUUUUACAUUAUUACAUAUUGUGGCAACUGUGUUAUAUUAGCUGCUUUGUAUGUUUUUUCAACUCCUGCUAUUAAUGACCUCGCAGUGUGGUGAUCUACCGUGGAAGCUGAGAAAAGGGAAAAUUCAUGUGUGUUUUGCAGUCGUGAAGCCCUUUUAAAGGAGAUGGGCAUGAACUGCUUAUAGAUCUUAAAGAAUGAGUAGACUUGUUUCAGGUAAAGAAAAAGGGUGACUCAGGGUAAAGAAACAGCAAGGAGCACAGCCACUAGGCCUUCAGCUGCUUCAGAAGCUCACUGCAAGAUUCACCAUCAGAACCAUCUGCACUGCUUCACAAGAAACAAACCAAGCACAUGCAGAUGACGGGGCAGUAGCUCCUGUGAUUACACAUCCUGCUACUCCCCACACUAGAGGGUUUGAGGCAGGUGCUCUUCGUGUGUAGCAGGCUGUGGCCUCUCCUUGUGUCCUUGUCAUCUUCGACUCCUGAGGUAAUGCUGAUUUGAAAAUGCUUAGCAACUAGCCCGGCUCCCUACCCGAGGCUCAGCCCAGGAGUUGGAGUUGACAGCUAAUUGUCGCCACUGAUUGCUUUGCUGACAGUGCUCUGUGGCUAUUUUGGUUUUUCUUGAGAGUUCCUUAAUUAGAGAAAAUGACAUCGUGUGCUGUCCAAUCAGUAGCUUGUUAGAUAUUAUUACAUUUGUAGGAGAAUCAGGCAACGUUCGGGCUUGUUCCUGCCAAGCUGGUAUUAGGCUCAUGACCUGCAGCACAGUUUGCUUGGCAAAACAGCAGUGCCCACACAGCUGAGACUAGUUUGUCACUGACUCAAGGGAAGAGCAUUCUGCAUUCCCAGUGUGGACUCAAAGUACCAGGACUCCCUCGGGGCAAUGUAGCUUUGCCCAUUGAAACUUCACACCUCACAGUAGCCAUUACCUUGACUUUCUUCUCUCUGAAGUGAGAUAUUUCAGGAUUCCUUUGAUAUUUGCCUUUCUGACUGACAUGGAAAGACCCUUUUGUUUUUCCAUGGGAGAGAUACAAAUAUGACCUGAAGAUGAGUUUCCAUUUGGUCAAACUUUAAAUGUGGUUUCUCAUACAGUAUAGUAAGAGCUCAGUAUACUGCUUUACCUAACAGGAAGGAUGAUCUUAAAUUAGAAAAUAUUUUGAGUUAUAAAAUAAGUGAAGAGUUUUACAACUCUAAAAUCCACAGAAUAACUUUUACAAGCUGAUUUUUAGGUGUAGUCUCUUCUGAGGCUAUGUUUUGGAAUUAUUUUGGAAUAGCACAUACCUACUUUAUUUAUUUACACAUAAACUAGGAAGGAAAGUUUGAUAUGUAAGAUUGUGAAAUGAGUACGAACCCUAUUAGUUCCUUAUUUCUGGCAUUAAUUCAUUGCAUCAAAGAUAUAUUGAGCCUUCAGGGGGUACCCUGGGGCUUAACAAAGAAGUAUGAGACACAGUUUCUGUCCUCAAGAAACUUAUAUCCUAACUGGGAAGUUAACAUUCUUAAAUGAGACCUCAUGAUUUCCUUGAAGGGAUCCAUAAGGUUGCAUAGCUUUUCUCCUGGAGUUAUCAGUGAUGGAACAGAGAGUAAAGAGUGCAGGACUGAUCCAGGGUUGAAAAGAUAAGAGGAUAAGAAUAUUGAGGAUCUAUGGAGUGUUCAUAAGCUUCACAGAUUGGGCACAGAAAGGAGGAAUACCAAGGUGUAUCUGUGUCUGCGUCGGCGGAGUAGGGGUUGAACAAAAAGAUAGAGAAAGUGGUUAACGCAUAUGGUGGAUGGGUAGAAGCUGAAGAGGACGCCAUACGGUCAAGAGAGAAAUGGAGAGUGGGUAAGGGUCAAGAGAGAUCAAACAAUGUCUCUUGUCCAUGUUUCCUGUGGGUCUAUCUUUGCCUUCUCAAACACAUGGUAAAAAAGGGACCAGACAUGACAUUUCUCUUGUGUAUUUUUCCCUGAAGAAAAAUUCACGGCUCAUUCAUGGGAUCUGUGAAGAUCAUUUGGUUGAAAUUAUCAACUUUCUUGUACAUAUAUAGAAAUGAUUAAGAUGCUCAUUUGUUUGUGUGUAUGGUGACCUCCAAAGUGUUUCCUGAUGCAAUCUUAUAUGGUAUAAACACGCAUACACAAUGAUGACGAAGAGAAAGUCCCCAUCACCUGAUAAUUGUUCAUUACUUUCAAGUAAAGGGAAAUUAUUAUCUCUAGAGGAUGUCAGAGAGACCCACACGCUGGAGGUGAUUUGUCUUACCAGCAAGGCCAGAAUUUCUGUUCCUUCCCACAGGCUGACAGCUCUCCUUUUACUCUUCCUGGGUUUUCAGGCUAAGUGCAUUUGAAGGCCCCGUAAACAACAUAAACUUCUUUCUGAUCCUGUUACUGUUUCCCUGCUCAACACUCAGCUUAUUCUCAUGUUUAUAUUUAACCAGUGUAAUCCUCGCGAAAGACUUUUACAGUUGAAGUCACAGCAAAAACUAGAGAAUAAAAUUUUGAUUAAAAAACUAAAUUUAAAAAGCUCAGACUUUAUGAUGUCAGAAUUACUCUGUAUUCUUGGAUAGUGUAUAAUUGCUGGUCCCUGGGCGCCACACCUGUUGGAGGUAGCAACUAUUUGGGGCCAGUGGCAAGGGUGGUAAAGGUAUUUACCAAGACAGUUGUAGGUUAAAAAAAAAAAGGCAGAUUUAUUAGAGAAAGUAUGAAAAUAAAUCGCAAGGAUGCAAUGGGCAGCAUGCAGAGAAGGGAGUGUCUACAAAGAGGCAGAGGUUGGAGGGAAGUUUUAUAGCAUCUUCAUUAGCUGUUUCUCAGAAAAAUUGGUCAAUGCUCUCCUCACAGUGGGGCCCUCCCCAGUGUGGGGUCCCUUCCUCAUCAAUGCUUACUUACCUCAUCAGGACUCCACAACACUCACUGUAAGUCCCUUGCUAUAAUGUCUAAUAUUCAUCUUGGCUGUCCAAGUGCUGCCCAGUACCGUCGGACACACUGGAGCCUUACAGUUGUCUGUGCCUCUGAAGGGAAUGUGUCUCAUGUCCAGCUCAAACAUACCAGCAGUGCCUAUUAUAAGAGCUUCAUUUCUCAGGUAGCAUUUUAAAAUUCCUUAAGCUAUAUCCCAGACAUGAAAGACUUGACCUGAAUCAUGUGGUUACCAUGGCAUCUAAAGAGAACCUUUAGAAGCGUAUCGAUUUUUCCAGACAGAAAGAUGGUAAAUUGCUCCAAUAGAACAUUUUCUACCUUGCAGGCUGAGAAUAAAAACUAUAUUUAUCUGAAAUAGCAAAUCUGAUCUUCAAAACUUCUCUCAAGCAUUAUCCUUUAUGGGCUAUUUGCUGAAAACUGCUUACCAGUUUUUAUGCUCCAGCACUGACUUGUAGCAGCUUUUCUUUCAUCUCUGACCUGGAAGCUUCUUUUCAAAUAAAAUAAAAAUAUGAAGGACCCCAACUAAGAAAUCCCUUCAAAUUUCAGAGAAGAGUCUAACUACCCUUAUUCAGGGAGACUGAAGCAAAAAUAAGUCUACCCUUAACAAAACGGCAGAUCCACCUUCUGCACAGGCAACCCCUCCCCUUCUGACACACUGCUUGGAUGUUAAGCUAAUUUUCAGUAAUUGCUAACUCUAAAGCAACAGAGCUUAAGUCUUUGAAAGGACUCGUUUUCAUACAAUCUUAUUAUCUGAAAUUUGUGCUUAAUAGAAAGGUCAUUUGACCACCAGCUUUUUGCCUUAGAGUUAGUAGGCAGGGACUAAGCCGUUAAUUUCUAUUGCUUGACAUUUCUAUAACACUUGGCAGUAUUCAAAACACUUUUAUAUCUGUUGUUAUUUGAGCCACAAUACAGUAACAAUGCCGUGAGGCAGAGACAGAUAUUUUUUUAAAUUACCCCCUUCACUUUUUUUCUGGAUUCGGGGAAUUAGCAGGCACCAGGGAUUGGAACUGUGCUACCAUAGUAGGGUGGUCCAUCUUCUCUGAGUAUCACUGGAAUUUCUUUUUUUUUUAAUUGCAUUUUAGGUUUUGGGGUACAUAUGCAGAACGUGCAAGAUAGUUGCAUAGGUACACAUGUGGCAGUGUGAUUUGCUGCCUUCCUCCCCUUCACCCACAUCUGGCAUUUCUCCCCAUGCUAUUCCUCCCCAACUUGCCCCUACUGCUGUCCCUCCCCUAUUCCCCCCAGUAGACCCCAGUGUGUAGUGCUCCCCUCCCUGUGUCCAUGUGUUCUCAUUGUUCAUCACCCACCUAUGAGUGAGAACAUGAGGUGUUUGAUUUUCUAUUCUUGUGUCAGUUUGCUGAGAAUGAUGGUUUCCAGAUUCAUCCAUGCCCCUGCAAAGGACAUGAACUCAUCAUUUUUGAUUGCUGCAUAAUAUUCCAUGUUGUAUAUAUGCCACGUUUUCCCAGUCCAGUCUAUCAUCAAUGGGCGUUUUGGUUGGUUCCAGGUCUUUGCUAUUGUAAACAGUGCUGCAAUGAACAUUCGUAUGCAUGUGUCCUUAUAGUAGAAUGAUUUAUAGUCCUUUGGAUAUAUACCCAGUAGUGGGAUUGCUGGGUCAAAUGGAAUUUCUAUUUCUAGGUCCUUGAGGAAUCACCACACUGUCUUCCACAAUGGUUGAACUAAUUUAUACUCCCACCAACAGUGUAAAAGUGUUCCUAUUUCUCCACAUCCUCUCCAGCAUCUGUUGUCUCCAGAUUUUUUGAUGAUCGCCAUUCUAACUGGUGUGAGAUGGUAUCUCAAUGUGGUUUUGAUUUGCAUUUCUCUGAUGACCAGUGAUGAUGAGCAUUUUUUCAUACGUUUGUUGGCCUCAUGUAUGUCUUCUUUUGUAAAGUGUCUGUUCAUAUCCUUUGCCCACUUUCGAAUGGGCUUGUUUGUUUUUUUUUCUUGUAAAUCUGUUUGAGUUCUUUGUAAAUUCUGGAUAUCAGCCCUUUGUCAGAUGGGUAAACUGCAACAAUUUUUUUCCCAAUCUGUUGGUUGCUGAUUCACCCUAAUGACUGUUUCUUUUGCCGUGCAGAAGCUGUGGAGUUUGAUUAGGUCCCAUUUGUCUAUUUUGGCUUUUGUUGCCAAUGCUUUUGGUGUUUUGGUCAUGAAGUCCUUACCUACUCCUAUGUCCUGAAUGGUUUUGCCUAGAUUUUCUUCUACGGUUUUUAUGGUGCCGGGUCUUAUGUUUAAGUCUUUAAUCCAUCUGGAGUUAAUUUUAGUGUAAGGUGUCAGGAAGGGGUCCAGUUUCUGCUUUCUGCACAUGGCUAGCCAGUUUUCCCAACAUCAUUUUUUAAACAGUUUUCCCAACAUCAUUUUUUCCCCAUUGCUUGUUUUUGUCAGGUUUAUCCAAGAUUGUAUGGUUGUAGAUAUGUUAUGUUGCCUCCGAUGCCUCUGUUCUGUUCCAUUGGUCUAUAUCUCUGUUUUGGUACCAGUACCAUGCUGUUUUGAUUACUGUAAACUUGUAGUAUAGUUUGAAGUCCAGUAUUGUGAUGCCUCCUGCUGUGUUCUUUUUGCUUAGAAUUGACUUGGCUAUGUGGGCUCUCUUUUGGUUCCAUAUGAAGUUUAAGGUGGUUUUUUCCAGUUCUGUGAAGAAGGUCAUUGGUAGCUUGAUGGGGAUAACAUUGAAUCUGUAAAUUACUUUGGGCAGUAUGGCCAUUUUCACUAUAUUGGUUCUUCCUAACCAUGAACAUGGAAUGUUUCUCCAUCUGUUUGUGUCCUCUCUUAUUUCAUUGAGCAGUGGUUUGUAGUUUUCCUUGAAGAGGUCCCUUACAUUCCUUGUGAGUUGUAUUCCUAGGUAUUUUAUUCUCUUUGUAGCAAUUGUGAAUGGCAGUUCGUUCUUGAUUUGGCUCUCUUUAAGUCUGCUAUUGGUGUAUAGGAAUGCUUGUGAUUUUUGCACAUUGAUUUUUUUAUAUCCUGAGACUUUGCUGAAGUUGCUUAUCAGUUUCAGAAGUUUUUGGGCUGAGACGAUGGGGUCUUCUAGAUAUACUAUCAUGUCGUCUGCAAAUAGAGACAAUUUGGCUUCCACCUUUCCUAUUUGAAUACCCUUUAUUUCUUUUUCUUGCCUGAUUGCUCUGGCUAGAACUUCCAGUACUAUAUUGAAUAGAAGUGGUGAGAGAGGGCAUCCUUGUCUAGUGCCAGAUUUCAAAGGGAAUGCUUCCAGUAUUUGCCCAUUCAGUAUGAUAUUGGAUGUUGGUUUGUCAUAAAUAGCUUUUAUUAUUUUGAGAUAUGUUCCAUCAAUACCAAGUUUAUUGAGGGUUUUUAGCAUAAAGUGCUGUUGAAUUUUGUCAAAUGCCUUCUCUGCAUCAAUUGAGAUAAUCAUGUGGUUUUUGUUUUUGGUUCUGUUUAUGUGGUGAAUUACGUUUAUAGACUUGCGUAUGUUGAACCAGCCUUGCAUCCCUGGGAUGAAUCCUACUUGAUGGAUACGCUUUUUGAUGUGCGGUUGCAAUCGGCUUGCCAGUAUUUUAUUGAAGAUUUUUGCAUCUAUGUUCAGCAUGGAUAUUGGCCUGAAGUUUUCUUUGCUUGUUGAGUCUCUGCCUGGUUUUGGUAUUAGGAUGAUGUUGGUCUUGUAAAAUGAUUUGGGAAGGAUUCCCUCUUUUUGGAUUAUUUGGAAUAGUUUCAGGAGGAAUGGUAACAGUUCCUCUUUGUGUGUCUGGUAGAAUUUGGCUGUGAACCCAUCUGGACCUGGGCUUUUUGUGUGUGGUAGGCUCUUAAUUGCUGCCUCAACUUCCGAUCUUGUUCUUGGUCUAUUCAUAGUUUUGACUUCUUCCUGGUUUAGGGUUGGGAGGACACAAGAGUCCAGGAAUUUAUCCAUUUCUUCCAGGUUUACUAGUUUAUGUGCAUAGAGUUGUUUGUAAUAUUCUCUGAUGAUGGUUUGAAUUUCUGUGGAAUCUGUGGUAAUUUCCCCUCUAUCAUGUUUUAUUGCAUGUAUUUGGUUAUUCUCUCUCUGGCUAGUGGUCUGUCUAUUUUGUUGAUCUUUUCAAAAAACCAGCUCUUGGAUUUAUUGAUUUUUUGAAGGGUUUUUCGUGUCUCUAUCUCCUUCAGUUCUGCUCUGAUCUUAGUUAUUUCUUGUCUUCUGCUAAGUUUUGAGUUAUUUUGAUCUUGGUCCUCUAGCUCUUUCAAUUUUGAUGAUAGGGUGUCAAUUUUGGAUCUUUCCAUUCUUCUCAGGUGGGCACUUAUUGCUAUAUAUUUUCCUCUAGAGACUGCUUUAAAUGUGUCCCAGAGAUUCUGGUAUGUUGUGUCGUUGUUCUCAUUGGUUUCAAAGAACUUCUUUAUUUCUGCCUUCAUUUCAUUGUUUAUCCAGUCAACAUUCAAGAGCCAGUUGUUCAGUUUCCAUGAAGCUGUGUGGUUCUGAGUUAGUUUCUGAAUUCUGAGUUGUAACUUGAUUGCACUGUGGUCUGAGAGACUGUUUGUUAUGAUUUCCAUUCUUUUGCAUUUGCUGAGGAGUGCUUUACUUCCAAUUAUGUGGUCAAUUUUAGAGUAGGUGUGAUGUGGUGCUGAGAAGAAUGUAUAUCCUGUGGAUUUGGGGUGGAGAGUUCUGUAAAUGUCUAUCAGGUUUGCUUGUUCCAGGUCUGAGUUCGAGUCCUGGAUAUCCUUGUUAAUUUUCUGUCUGGUUGAUCUGUCUAAUAUUGACAGUGGAGUGUUAAAGUCUCCCACUAUUAUUGUGUGGGAGUCUAAGUCUCUUUGUAAGUCAUUAAGAACUUGCCUUAUGUAUUUGGGUGCUCCUGUAUUGGGUCCAUAUAUAUUUAGGAUCGUUAGCUCUUCUUGUUGUAUCGAUCCUUUUACCAUUAUGUAAUGGCCUUCUUUGUCUCUUUGGAUCUUUGUUGCUUUAUAGUCUAUUUCAUCAGAGAUGAGAAUUGCAACUCCUGCUUUCUUUUGCUCUCCAUUUGCUUGGUAAAUCUUUCUCCAUCCCUUUAUUUUGAGCCUUUGUGUAUCCUUGCAUGUGAGAUGGGUUUCCUGGAUACAGCAUUCUGAUGGAUUUUGGCUUUUUAUCCAAUUUGCCAGUCUGUGUCUUUUGAUUGGUGCAUUUAGCCCAUUUACAUUUAGGGUUAAUAUUGUUAUGUGUGAAUUUGAUACUGCCAUUUCGAUUCUAGCUGGCUGUUUAGCUCGUUAGUUGAUGCAGAUUUUUCAUUUUGUUGAUGCUCUUUAGCAUUUGGUAUGUUUUUGGAGUGGCUGGUACUGGUUUACCUUUCUAUGUGUAGAGCCUCUUUCAGGAGCUCUUGUAAAGCAGGCCUGGUGGUGACAAACUCUCUGAGUACUUGCUUGUUCGCAAAGGAUUUCAUUUUUCCUUCACUUAUGAAGCUUAGUUUGGCUGGAUAUGAAAUUCUUGGUGGAAAGUUCUUUCUUUAAAGAUGUUGAAUAUUUGCCCCUACUCUCUUCUGGCUUGUAGAGUUUCUGCCAAGAUAUCUGCUGUGAGUCUGAUGGGCUUCCCUUUGUAGGUAACCUGACCUUUCUCUCUGGCUGCCCGUAGCAUUUUCAUCUUCAUUUCAAUCCUGGUGAAUCUGAUGAGUAUGUGCCUUGGGGUUGCUCUUCUUGAGCAAUAUCUUUGUGGUGUUCUCUGUAUUUCCUGGAUUUGAAUAUUGGCCUGCCUUGCUAUGUUGGGGAAAUUUUCCUGGAUAAUAUCCUGAAGAGUGUUUUCCAGCUGGGAUUUGUUCUCUUCUUCACCUAUCAUAUGUAGGUUAGGUCUCUUCACAUAGUCCCACAUUUCUUGGUUACUUUGUUCCUUCCUUUUUGUGCUUUUUUCUCUAAUCUUGCAUUCUCCUUUGAUUUCGUUGAGUUGAUCUUCAAUCUCUGAUAUCCUUUCUUCUGCUCAGUCAAUUCAGCUAUUGAAACUUGUGCAUGCUUCACGAAGUUCUCGUGUUGUGCUUUUCAGCUCCAUCAAUUCACUCAUAUUCCCCUCUAAGUUGUCCAUUCUUGUUAUCAUUUCAUCAAAUCUUUUUUCAAGGUUCUUAGUUUCUUUGCGUUGAGUUAGAACGUGUUCUUUUAGCUCACGGAAGUUUCUCAUUACCCACCUUCUAACGUCUGAUUCUGUCAUUUUAUCACACUCAUUCUCCAUCCAGCUUUGUUUCUCUGCUGGUGAGGAGUUGUGAUCCCUUCUAGGAGGUGAGAAGUUCUGGUUUCAGGUGUUUUCCUCCUUUUUGCGCUUGCUUCUUCCCAUCUUUGUGGGUUUAUCCACCUGUCGUCUGUGUAGUUGGUGAUUUUCAGAUUGGGUCUCUGAGUGGAUGUCUUGAUUGUUGAUGAUGAAGUUAUUUCUAUUUCUUAGUUUUCCUUCUACCAGUCAGGCCCCUCUGCUGUAGGACUGCUGACGUCCACUCUAGGCCCUGCUUGCCUGGGGGUCACCUGCAGCAGCUGCAGAACAGUAAGGGUUGCUGCCAGUUUUUUCUUCUGCUAUCUUUGUCCCAGAAUGAUGCCUGCCAAAUGUCAGUCUGAUCAGUCCUUUAUGAGGUGACUUUUGGAUAUACGGGGGUCAGGGAGCUGCUUGAGGAGACAGUCUGUUCUUUAUAGGAGCUCAAUUGCUGAGCUGUGAGCUCUAUUGUUCAUUCAGAGCUGCUAGGAAGGUAUGUUUAAGUCUGCUGCAGCAGAACUCAUAAACCCCCUUUUUUUCCCCAGGUGCUCUGUCCUGGGGGUUUAGGGCUUUAUUUAUGGUAUCCGUUGUGUUGCUGCUUUUUUUUUUUCCAGUUGUUCUGCCCAGCAAGGGGGCAGCCUAGUCACUGCCUGUAGAGGUUUUGCUGAGCCUCUGCUGUGGGUUCUGCCCUGCUGCUGGCUCUGCCCUGCUGCCAUGUGUAUUUCCCUGCAGUCCUGUUUAUGUGGGUGUGGUUAGAACUGCCACGGCAAUGUUGGCCCACCUCUGCAAUGGUGGGCUCUCUCUGUUAUGACAAAUUGCCUCUGCAACUGCAGGAUGCAUCAGCAAUGGCAGACUACCUCCCUAGGGGUGGAGUACCUCAGUAAUGGCGGAUGCCCCUCCCCCACAGAGCUGGGCUGUCCCGGUUUUAGCUGUGCUUGCCGUGAAACUCUCAACCCCGAGCAUUUCCAAUUGCUGUUUGUUUGUUUUUGUGGGCAUGGGACCCACCGAGCCUGAUCACCUGGCUCCCUGCCUCAGAGCCCUUUUUUCUUAAGUUGAAUGGUUGACUCUCUCCCAGGUGUUCCAGUCGCCUGCUGAAAGGGCACCAGGAUCUGUGUGAUUUCCCGUGCGGUGACCCACUGCACCCGCUGAAACAAUGUGGCUUCCCGGGAAUCUCCUGGGCUGCUAUAUGUUUCAGUCCCCUUUAAUCAGAUGAAUGGGCUAAUCUGCCUUCCCGGAUCUCGAAUUGCCAGUUUAACAGGGCAAUCAGACCAGUGUAUUUUGUAUGGAGUCAGCGGCGCUGGCUGAAACAGCCAUGCCUUAUCGCUGGAAUUUCUAAUCGCGAUGGUCGUCCCCUCCCUAGAGGAGCUGGACUCCCUCAGGUAGAGAGACCUGCAGAACUUAGCCAAGGGUCUGGGUCUCUGGGCAAAACCUGAGGGCAGACAAGUUGUUAAAAGCCUUGAAAGGCCACAGUAAUUGUGAGAAAAGAAAAGGAAAUGAGAAUCAGGAUGAAAGUCAAAAUUAUGCAUAAGACAAAGAUACAGAUCAGCAGCCAGGAAGAAGCUGAGAGAGCCAAUUGGCCAUGCCACCAAAACAAGGAGAAGGCGCAAGACUGUCCAUGUGGACCCUGACUCCCAGCACGAUCAUUCAGAGAUAAAAAUAGGUGAUCCCACAGAAUUCCAGAAUCAUGAAAAGCAGGAAAGCCAGGAUCUCAGAGCUACUGCAAAAGUUUCUUCUCCAGAUGAGCACCAAGGAGAAUGCUGUUUCUUCAGGAAAACUUUGAAUAAAUGGUAACAAAGAUUCAAAGAUACCUUCAGAAAGAAAGAAAUCUCUCUAUACAGAUUAAGUUACCCAAACCUGGAAAAAAUAAAAGAACUGCAAUCACCACUCCAAACUUUAAGAAGCUUCAUGAAGCUCAUUUUAAGGAAAUGGAGUCCAUUGAUCAAUAUAUUAAGAGGAAAAAGAAACAUUUUGAAGAACACAAUUCCAUGAGUGAACUGAAGCAGCAGCCCAUCAAUAAGGGAGGAGUCGUGACUCCAGUACCGCCAAAAGGAAGACUCUCUGAGUUCUACUCCCGUCAGCCAAUGACGCUUUCAAGGCCAGUCUUCUGGCCCUGCAAGUCAGAGUACCUUGGGUCUGAAAGGGUCACUCAAGGGCUCUGCUAUCUCUGCAGCUGAAACAGGUGUCAGGUUUUCAGCUGCUACUAAAGAUAAUGAGCAUAAGUGUCUACUGACCAAGACUCCAGCCAGAAGGUGCACAUGUGACCAUGUCUGGAAAUACCCCAAAAGGUGAGGCUAUGCCCGGGACACAAAUAAAAGACCACCAAGAGGAAUUCUGCUGCUAUUACCCCAUUCAAGUUGACAACUGAGGCAAUGCUUGAUCUUAAAGCAAGUUUGUCUCGUCCCCUCAACUAUGAAGCACGCAAAGGAAAGCUAAAACCAUGGGGGGCAAUCUAAAGAAAAGAAUUGUCUGAAUGGGCAUGCCAACAGAAUUAACUUCCACAAGGAAACUUAAAAAGAACCCCGUCUCCAGACAAAGGAAGAGCAACAGAAAAAACAUGAGCAAGAACCAAAGGAGAAGAAAACAACGGUUUUGCGAGUGUGAAGGGGCCUCAUUUUGGCUGAAGAUUAGUAAUUUUUAACAUCUUGUAAAUAAUCCUGUAUUAGAUUAACGUCAAAGAACUGUGUCAGAAGGGGAGAGGCUGCCUGCGCAGAAAGGCAAAAAUUGUGUGAUUGCUCCUCCUCCUCGCAUUUCUCCUACUGCCCUAGUCCCGCCUUGGCCAUGAGGGAGAUCGCGCUCACACAAACCGGACAGUGCGGGAACCAGAUCGGCGCAGAGUUCUGGGAGGUGAUCUCUGGUGAACAUGGCAUCGACUCUGCUGGAGCCUACCAUGGGGACAGUGACCUGCAGCUGGAGCGCAUCAAUGUGUAUAACUAGCUGCCAAAAGGUAAAUGCUAUUGUCUGGCAGAAGACUGCAGUUCUGUUCAUACUAGAACCAGCAGGGGGAACUUGACAUUAAAAAUCUAGGACCAGAAUCUCAGGAUGGGUCUCAUUAGAAAACUGAGUUGUACAGGGUUAGCAAUUCAUGAAAAACAAAAACCAUCCCAAAGAAUUUGAGCUUUGAGGUGAUAACAUCUUUUCAGAGGUCAUAGCACAUGAAGUGCAGCCAGGGAAAUGGAACCAUGUUCACGGCCAGCUUCUGCAGGUCAGCAUUCAGCUGGCCUGGAAAGUGCAGGCACCAGGUGAUUCAGGUGACCGUAGGUGGGUGUGGUCAGUUUUAAGGUCCUGGAACAGAUGUUAUAGAGUGCUUCAUUAUCGACGCAGAACAUCUCGCCUGCAUUUUCUAUGAGCUGGUGGAGGGAGCGGGUGGCAUUGUAGGGCUCCACUACCGUGUCUGACACCUUGGGCGAGGGCGGGACGCUGAAUGUGUUUAUAAUCCUGUCGAUACUCCCCCCGAAUUUUGCCCAUGAGAAGGGUUACCCAUCCCAGACCCUGUCCCCCCACCCAGGGAGUGGCUCAGCUGGAAACCCUGCAGGCAAUCACAGCUGUCAGCCUCUUUUCUCACAACGUCCAUCACUGACUCCAUCAGCUCUGUGCCUUCUGUGUAGUACCAUUGCCCCAGUUGUUCCUGGCUCCACACUGACCAAAGAUGAAGUUGUCUGGUCUGAAGAUCUGCCGAAAGGGCCCUGAGCGCACAGAGUCCAUGGUGCCCGGCUCCAGAUCCACGAGCAUAGCGCGGGCCAUAUACCUGCCACCGCUGGCCUCCUUGCAGUACACAUUGAUGUGCUCCAGCUGCAGGUCACUGUCCCCGUGGUAGGCUCCAGCAGAGUCGAUGCCAUGUUCAUCAGAGAUCACCUCCCAGAACUUUGCGCCGAUCUAGUUCCUGCACUGUCCGGUUUGUGUGAGCGUGAUCUCCCUCAUGGCCAAGGCAGGACUAGGGCAGUAGGAGAAAUGCGAGGAGGAGGAGCAAUCACACAAUUUUUGCCUUUCUGAGCAGGCAGACUCUCCCCUUCUGACACAGUUCUUUGACGUUAAUCUAAUUUUCAUUAAUUGCUAACUCUAAAGCAACAGAGCUUAAAUCUUUGAAAGGACUGCUUUUCAUACAAUCUUAUUGUCUGAAAUUUGUGCUUAAUAGAAAGGUCAUUGGACCACCAGCUUUUUGCCUUAGAGUUAGUAGGCAGGGACUGUCUAAAUCGUUAAUUUCUAGUGCUUGACAUUUCUAUAACACUUGGCAGUAUUCAAUACACUUUUAUAACUGUUGUUAUUUGAGCCACAAUACAGUAACAGCGUCCUGAGGCAGAGAGACAGAUACUUUUUAAAAUUACCCCCUUCACUUUUUUUUUUUUUUAAAUUAGGGGAUUGAAGGUGUAAGAGAAGCAAAACUUUUCCUCUUCCCUUUUAGGUUUUUUUUUGUGUGUGUGUGGGGAGAGGGGUGGUGGCUGGGCCUGGGUAUUACGAUAAACAGGAAAAACCCAAAUUUAUUUAAUACAAGUUUUGUGUGGCAUGGGGGCCCUUAGAAGGAAAUGAAGACCCAAAGAAGCUGUUAGAAUCAGUUUCUUCUACACUGAAUUGCACAAAGAGUAGUAAAUUGUGAAGCGGUGUCAAGGCAAAGGGCCUUGGUUAGGGUAGUUAAUUGGGUAAAGAAACUACUAGGAAAAUAUGGGUGAGUUUAUCAAGGUUUGUUUGUACAGAUUUUUCUCGGCCUCAACUUUUUUUCCUUGAUGUUAAGAAUGUUGCUUUCCUUCUGGUGCAGGGAGGACAUUUUUCCACAUGGAAAUUUUAUCUCCUACUUUUAAGAAACGGAAGGUCAGAGCGAUCUUGCACGUGCUGCUUUUUUUUUUUUUCUGUCUUUAAUUCAGAAUAGAGAAUAUGCCAGAGCAGCAUAUUUUGGAGUGGCACAUUCCUAAUUAUUUUAGAGUUUGUGUCUCCUAAAAUCACUUCUUUCUAGGAGCAGACCUGGAACUAGCACCUGUUUCUGUCCCUAAGGGUUGCUCAGUCAUGAUGGGCCAAGUAUGAGGAUGGGAACAGAGAGCUCUGUUUGGGAAUUGUCUACUUGCUUGUCUGUCUUCUUGAUUUGACUUUCAGCUCCUUGAAGGAGGAGGUUCUUUUAUUUAUCGUUGGAUCCUCAGUGACUAGAAUAUGGCCGGCACAUAAUAGGUGCUCAGUUAACAUGGUUAAGAAACAAGUCAUAAUGAUGUCAACAUUUUCACCUCUGCCUAUCCCACCUCUCACCCAUGCCAAAGGCAUAGAAAAUGUUGAACGGAAGAAUUGUAUCUACAAUAAAUAGGCCAAAAUAUGGGCACAGACGGGGAAGCAUAGGUUGUCAAUUUGCCAGAAGCACUGGGUGAAGGACACUGAGCCGAGCUGUUGAAAAGCACAGAAGAAACUGAGAAUCUAGCUCCUUUCUUCGGGGAGCUCAAAGUAUACUCGGAGAAACAGAACACCUACCAUGAAAACGAUGAGGAAAGUCACUCUCAGUCUGUUUGGUUGGCCCUACCUUCUUGGAAACUCUUGGGGGAGGGUGUGGACAUGCACUGCAAACAAACCUUAAUCUCAGAGGGAGAAGGAACUGGAAGAACUCUACUCUCAUUUUCUUUGGUUCUAUAAUUACCUGCAGCUACAUACAAGUGUUUCUAUGCAUGAAACUAAAUUCAGCAACUGGUCGACGGUUGAAUCAUUCUAAUUAACUGGAAUAGGUGAACUUUGACACAGCUUCAUUUGGCAUUUUUCUUUAAAUAGUCAAGUAGUCAUGCCAUAAUUUAGCAUCAGUAAACAAUUGUUUCCAUCCUCAGCCCUACCAGAACUAAUAUUUUCCAAGUCCUGUACAGCUGUACCUCUCAAGGUUCAGUCCUCAAGCCAUGUACUUACGUAUCAACCUGUGAAAUUUGGAUUCAGGGCACCUGAGAAUCUGCUUCCUUUUCCCUUAGUAAACACUUUAUUUUGGAAUAAUUUUAUAUUUACAGAAAUAUUGCAAAUGUUGCAAUAAAUCUUGCAAAUAUACUACAAAGAGUUCCUGUAUUUCCUUCAUCCAGCUUUUUCUGUUAACUUCUUAUAGACCAAAAUAACUUGUCAAAAUUAAUAAAUUAACAUUGGUAUAAUAAAUACGAACUAAGCUACAGACUAUUCAGAUUUCACCAAUUUUUCCACUCCUUCCCUUUUUCUGUUUAAUCCGGGCUAUCACAUUGUAUUUAAUCCUCGUAUCUCCUUAGUGUCCUUGGAUCUGUGAUAGUUUUUUAGCCUUUCCUUGAAUCUGCAUUUUAAUAAGCUCUCCCGGUGGUUCUUACACACUAGAAGUGAACACCAUUGCUCUUCCAAAGCCACGGCACACCUCACAGGUGCUGAGAAGGGGGAACCUUCCCUGGCCUGAGUGGUGCUUUGUGCUCUUCAUCCCAAGUCAUGCCCAUGUCAUUGGGGGAUCCGGCAGGACACAUAAGGCAUGCUCUGGAGAGAAGUUGACAAAUGGAACACAGCACUAUUUACAGAAGUGUAGACAGAAAUAAGCGAAGAAAUAAGGGUUGUUAAGGCAACCAGGAACUAUUUACAGUGAAAAGCUUUGAUUUAGUUUGGGAAGGGGGAAGAAGAGUUGGGGCCACCCAGUGGGAGCAGGAGUCAGAGAUGUACCAUUGGAGAACCAGCCUUUGCCAGAAUCCCCGGGCUCUGAAGUAUGGAGGAGUGAAGGAGGACAGACCCUGGACUUACCUCCUUUAUCUUAGAUCGCCUACUGUUGCCUCCUGUUGGUGGAACUCAACAAGAAGCAGAGGGCAGGGAAUGGGCCAUACUGUGCCUGUGCAUAGAGGGGAGAGAAGGGCGGAGAAUUGAUGUGGAGACUAGAUCCAGGGAGGAGUUGAAGUGACAAGAACCAGAAUUGUUUUAAAGUAGAAUGCAGUAGAGAUAGCCUGGCUAGUUAAUUGUGCCUGGAUUAAAACUUGUGCUCUGUUUAUUAAUUUAUAGCUACUAUGUUAUCAGGGAUCCACUGCUUAACUUUUUUAAAAAGUGAGAGAUCCAAUAAAAACAUGAUGUGUAGCCUUCGAAACUAUACAGUUGCAAAUUCAACAAAUAUCCUUUUAGUGAGUUUAUGAUAUGAUGAAAAACCAUAGCUUCCAGCUACAUAAGUAAAUAUCCAAACUGAAGAAAAGAAGUACCAUCUGAGAUACAGUCUUAGAAUUGAUAAUGGAUUUUGAGAGUGACAUAUACUACCUUGUAAGGUUUGGAUAAGACAGUGCUUUUUUUUUCUAUUAACUCUCCAGUUUUUGAAAGGAGAGAUGAUUACCCUUUCUGCACUAUAGUGAAUCAAAUUCUGAACUAAAUGGAGAACUAAAGAAAAAGAGUCAGAAAAUGUUUUUCAAUUUUUUUUUUGUAAUUGCAAAGGAAUAGGCUUGAAUAGAAAAGAGCUCAUAUUAUUUUGUUUUUAGAGAAUAAUAGUCUACUUUUAUUUAAAAAAUUUUUCAUAUAUAUAGCUGCUUUUAUUUCAGUAGAUUUUUGGGGAACAGGUAGCGUUUGGUUACAUGAAUAAGUUCUUUGAUGGUGAUUUCUGAGAUUUUGGCACACCCAUCACCCAAGCAGUAUACACUGUACCCAGCAUGGAGUCUUUUAUUCCCCCUCCUACCCUUUCACCCGAGUCCCCAAAGUCCAUGGUAUCAUACCUUUGCACCGUCAUAGCUUAGCUCUCACUUAUGCAUGAGAACGUAUGAUGUUUGAUUUUCCAUUUUUGAGUUACUUUACUUGGAAUAAUGGUCUCCAAUUCCAUCCAGGUUGCUGCAAAUGCCAUUAUUUCAUUCCUUCUUAAUGGUUGAGUAGUAUUCCAUAGUAUACAUCUAUAUGUAUUCACAUAUACAUAUAUGUAUAUGUGUGGGUGUGUGUAUAUAUAUAUAUAUAUAUAUAUAUAUAUAUAUACACACACACACACCAUAUAUACACACACCACAAUUUCUUUAUCCACUCAUUGAUUGGUGGACAUUUGGGCUGAUCCCAUGUGUUUGCAAUUGUGAAGCGUGCUGCUAUAAACAUGUGUGCUAGUGUCUUUUUUGUACAAGGACUUCUAAAGAGCUCAUUAUUCAAGCAUCCAUGGGACUUAAGUGGAAUCACUAGUCUUUAGAGCUGGACUUUCUUGGGCAUUUUUUUUUAUGCUGAGUGUGAGUGGGUAUGCUAUUUUCCCCCUCAUUUCAAACCAGGAGUUGAAGUUAGAAAAGAGGAAUAUUAUCUAUACUUAGCAUUUUUUGUCAUUAAGUUUGACAUUAAAUACACUGUUUGCUAAAAGAGAAGGCUAGUGGAAGUUCGUUUUACUCAUGCAUAUUUUUCUUAGGUAUGGGUCUUUUGUGUUUGCUCAUUUUCAGCCAGGAAAGGGAUACCUUUAACUUUAUUUUAAAGAGUGGUUACACUGGGGUCUUGGCUGGAAACAGAAUUUUCCUCUGCGGGGUUUGAAUGAAGAGAAUCUAAUGAAGGGACUGUUGCAGACCCCUGGGGAGGAUUAUAGUGAUGAAUAGAGGGUGAUCUGGCUCCCAAAAACCAGCAGCAGUGGGAAGCCAUCACCAUCCUUGGGUCCUGGAAACAAGAGGAGCAAAUCGUGGAGUCUCAUGAGGGUUGUAGUCAUGGUGGAAGGGCCAGUGAGGAGACGCUGGAGCUGCGAAGGGACAUGCUCAUUGUGGGAUACUGCAGUGAGGGGAAGACAGUAGGAAAAACAGCACCCCAUCACACUCCUCCCCUUCGUCAAACCCAACAGAAGCCGGGGGGCAUGGCAGUGUAGAUGACAUUGGGACAGUGAGAGGUGGAGUAUGGCUGGAGGAAGUGUGGGGAGAGAUGGGCAAUACCAGCAAAAUGGCCCAUUGCAAUUAAGCCCCCAAAUUAUUUCUUGUGACAUUAGGUUUUCAGGAAAUGAAAAGUAGACGCAUUAAAUUAACGAGUAAUCAUCCAUUUUUUUUUAAAGGAGUCAGUUUUGUUUUAAAAUGACUUGCUGCUCUCCUAGCCUGUUCUUAAGUUUUAGUGCAUAAAGACCCGUUUCUCUGAGUUUUCUUAGCUUCACUAUGUGGAGAGAAAGGUGUUGACCUUUAAGAAUGUGGAGCCUGGCCUGGCCAACAUGGUGAAACCCCGUCUCUACUAAAAAUACAAAAGUUAGCUGGGCGUGGUGGCACACGCCUGUAAUCCCAGCUACUCAGGAGGCUGAGGCAGGAGAAUUGCUUGAACCUGGGAGGUGGAGGUUUCAGUGAGCCAAUAUCAUGCCACUGCACUCCAACCUGGGCAACAGAGCAAGACUCCAUCUCAAAAAAGAAAGGAAGAAAAAAGAAUGUGGUGUCUGCAUUUGACCUCAAGGAGCCUGGAGGGAUGGCACAGCUGUUAUUGGUUGCCCCAAAUGGCAUUUUCACAGUUAAAAAUGGCUGUCAUUACCUGAAUCCUCUUAUUGUCUUAAUGAGUUAUUUCUGUUGGAGCUAAAUGUAAUUACUAAAUAAUCAUUUCCAGUUGUUCGUUGAUUAGUUGUGCAUAAAUUAUUUAAUGAAAAUAGACUUAGAUGACCCAGUGGUAGGAAGACCAAUUUCUGGGAAAAACAUCCACUGUAGCCUCUCACACCCCCAGUUGUAGUUGAUUGGAAAACAAAAGCAAAGCAACAAAAUGAUCUUAAAUGCUCUUGGCGACUUUAACCAAACCUGGUCCCAGGAUCAUUUAAGAACUUGUGCUGCGCGGCUCACAGAAACAGAGCUGAAAACAGACCAGUUGCGGCAGUUUCAGUGGGGCGACCUGCAAAUGUUUUCUUUAGCGGGGAGUUUUCAGUGAGCAAUAAAACGGUAUGCCCAGAUUACAUUCCUGGGAAAAGACAUUCGUGUUUGAUUUUCCUUUUCCCGGUGGACUACCUCUCUGAAGUGCUUGGCAUCAAGUCUUCAAACACGAUACAGUGAAAGCGUCUCAGUCUCUUAUCUGCUGUGCUGUUUUCGUCUUCUUUAACCCUUUUCUUCCCCUAUUUGUGAUGGAUUCUUGGGCAAAGCUACCUUCAUCUGAAGGGCCCCAGAAAAAAAAUAAAUAGAAGCAUGCUCUUGAAAAAUUUUCUUUAUGUAUUUAUAUUGUUCAUUCAUUUACACUGUGUCCUUUGCGUCCUAGCCCGGAACAAUGUCUGGCCUGGCUUCAUCCUCAGUCAUAUUGGCUGCUCUCUCUAUAUCACAAAAUGUUAAGUGAAAACGUCAAAAAGUGGUCAUAAGCUAUUUGCUUCAGUGGCUAAUCGGCUUAAUAAAGUUUGAGAGUCUUUGACUCUCAGAGCUUAAAUGAGCUUAAUUGAAAUUUUGAGCAAAGCUUAAAAAGCCAGAUUUCGCCAUCAUGCCUUGUGAAAGGAGUGUCAUGACUUUGAAUAGCUGGAAUCUGUAAGCUGCUCAUAGUUAGUGACUCUAAGUAGAUACCGAGGCCUGUCUUGCUCUUGCUGAUCUGACCUGUGCAGUGUUCCAGCCUGCAGGUAGGGUGAAUGCAAUGCCACGCUUGCUUGUGCUUUAACCUACGAACCUGAAGCCCGUGACAAGGGGGGUUAGCACUGAUGUCAAGAUAAUCUCUGUCCUUUGCAGCUAUUCUUGUCUGUGACGGGAUUAUUUUCCAAAUCACUGUGGUUGUAACGUUGAUGCCUCUUUAACUCUGUUGCCUGCCAUAGUCCCUGGAGGUCAGUUAGUUGCCAUGGUUGUCUCUUCUAGCUCUGAAAGAUAGAUCCAUUUCCUUUUCCACUGUAAGUUUCAUAGGCAAGGACCUUCUUUCUGUCCUGACUUACCGAGACAACCCCCAACAAGUCUGCCUGCUCCUAGCAUUCUGUUCCUCUUGCCACAGUAGGCUUCUUAGACCUAGAUCAUAUUUAUUGGGAUCUGCCUCUGCUUAAAAACUCUCAGCCAUUUGUUACUUACAGAGUAAAAUCCCUGUCAGUCACCAAUGAAGACAUUAUUUUGUGAGCAACUGCUAUGGGCAAGAUCCAAUGCUCGGUACCGUAGGAACCCAGAUCAUGUCCACUUGCUUAUUCACCUUGUGUCCUCGAUUAGUUUAUAAUUUCCUGUAGGCCAGGAAUUGUACUUGAUGUGUAGAAGUGCCCAGCAACAGGACUGGCUUUUCAUCAGCAUUCUUGAUUACGUAGCUUCAGUUGAUGAUAGCUCAUUAAGGUCUACAGCUUGGAAAAUUAUGUACAUAGUCCUCUCAAGGCUGUUAGAUGUGACUCCUAAUGUUUUUGAAACUGUCUAUUUAGAAUUCUCUUCAGAACUCAUAAGUUGUGAAAAGAGUCUUAUUACUCCAUCCUUUUGUUCAAGACACAAUUUGCUGAAUGCCUGCUUGGUGCUAGGUGCCGUGUCAAGCCUUUGUUAUGCCAGAAUGUGUGAAAGCCCACCAAGCACACUGCCAGGAACACACCAGAGGCAAACAAGCUUAGGUUUAUUACCUUGUGCUGCAGUAAGAGACAGUCACACCAUGGAGAGGUGUGGGCAUUUCAACAGAUGGAAGGUUGGGAAGAAUAUCUUAUAGAGUUUUCAGGGCUGAAGUUAGUCAUAGGAUGCUGUUGGAAGAGAUUGGUCAGAACUCGUAAACCAGGAGUUGCUGGGACAAUCAGUGCUCAUAUCUUGAGGACAGGUGACUGUGUGGUGUUAUAGGUAGAUCGGGUUUUCUGUGGCCUUAUUUAGAACGUAUGUGAUGUAGUUUGGUUACCUGUCCCCACCCAAAUCUCAUGUUUGGAAAAUGUAAGCCCCAGUGUUGGAGGUGAGGCCUGGUGGGAGGUGUUUGGACCAUGGGGGUGGAUCCCUCGUGAAUGGCUUUGGCCAUCCUCUUGGUGAUGAGUGAACUCUUACUCUGAGUUCACAAGAGAUCUGGUUGUAUAAAAGCGUGUGGCCCCUCCCCCUUCUCUUGCUCCUGUUUUCACCCUGUGAUGUGCCUGCUCCUCCUUUGCCUUCCACCAUGAUUGGAAGCUUCCUGAGGCCUCCUAGGAAGCAUAGGCCACUAUGCUUUCUGUACAGCCUGUGAACCAUGAACCAAUUCAAUCUCUUCCCUUAUAAAUUACCCAGGCUCAAGUGUUUCUUUACAGCAGUGCAAGGAUGGCUGAAUACAGCAUGUGUCUGAAUGAGCAGGUGCAGAGUCUGAGUUCAGUUGGUGUUGCGUGUCAUGGCUUAAACGGGUUUUCAGUGUUGUGAGUCAUAAUCCAUUUUGCAAGUUAUGGUUUCGGUUCGAUUUUUCAGAUCCCCCUCACAUCUUAAUUGCCAGCUGAAUUGGCUUUCCCUUCAUCAGAAGGAUAAUGACAAGUUCCUGUUCUCAGGAAGUCCCCAGUCUGGGCUAUUAUAAUAUAAUUUGAUAUGUACUACAGUAGAGAUAUAAAUACGGUGUUAGAGAGUUCAGAAGAAGGAAACUUUUUUUAAAAGAAACCAAAACUUCGUUGAAAUCCUACCUGCAAUGUGCAGAGCUCUACACAAUUAUGUACUGCUCAAAUUAUAUUAUUUUAUUUGAUCCUCAGCAAUCUUACAAAGUAGGUAUUAUUUUUAUUUUAAAUUUUAAAGUCAAAAAAGUGUGAUGCCAAAAAAGUUAGAUGGCUCACUCAAGGUCACCCAGCUAAGAGAUGAGUUUAGGACUUAAUUAAACAAAUGUUUGCUGGGUAGUAUUCUAGGUGCUUUAUAUAAACUCCAAAGUAGACCUUUGAAGUAGCUACUACUCUAUUCUAUUUCAUCACAAAGAGAAAUGAGCCUUGGGGACAUGAAGUAACUGGUCUAAAGUCACAAAGCUGGUGACCAUGUAGUAGAGGCAGGAUUCAGACCCCAGUGGCGUGGCUCUCUGGGCCAUGCACAUGGCCACUUUGCUCUGCUGCUUCUCCUCAGCCCUUAUCAUUGGGCUUUCAUGUCCAUGUCUUUAAUCACUGUGCUGGUGUGGCUCAUGGACAGGAGAAGCUUCACAGAAGGGUGGACAUGUGGGCUGGAGUUUGCUAGAUAAAUAGAAUAUCUCUGGAUGGAUCAGGAAGAGAAGGCUGUGACAUAUAAUUCAGGAACAGCAGCCCUUGAGGUGCCCUGGGAACAGGAAAAGCUGUGCUCGGCCAGAGGUGGGGUGAGGCUUGAGUGUGUAGAAUCAGGGAGCUGUGGGUGGCAGUGGUAGAGAUGGAGACAGGCGUUGGAACCAGAUUGGGACUUCACGCUCACCCCUUGCAUUUGACCAACAGGAUGCUUCUCUUCCCAAUACCUCUCUUGGCUCUGAAUGGUUACUCUGGUCUCAAUGCAUCCCCUAAGGAGAGAGAUGACCAAAGAUACUCAUACUAACGGCAGUUCCAGAGAAGACGUUCUAGAAAUGUGUUAAGGAAAAGAAGCUUUAGGAAAAAAUGCUGCCUAGAGAUAUUCUUACAGCAAUUGCUUUGAUUAGCAUUACACUCAUUUUAAUGUCUGCAUCCUUAUAAGUUAGAGGAAGAAAAUGUCACUACUUUUCAAUCAGUCCAGAGUCUGGAAAAGCAGCUUUUAUUUAUGCAGUGCUGAGAGCUGACUUGCAUUUAAUGUUCACAUCAAUUUUUAUAUAAGGGAGAUGCUGUUCAUGUCUCAGUUGCAUAGUUGAGGAAACUGAGGCUCAGAGGACUCCAAGGAGUUUGGCACCCCACACAGUGAUAGGUGGUAGAGUCAAGAUUUCAACCCACUUUGAUUCCAGAGCUUUUUCUGUCACAUUACUUCAAGAAGUCUAUGUCAUUUUAGCUUGUGAAAGUGCAGUAUGUCCCAAACACAAUGGCCAAUCUUACGUCAAGGACAGUCAGUAGUACAGAGAGGCAGGAGCAGCCUGGAGUAGUGGGGAGAGGCAGUAGUAGGAGGACCAAGAGGAGGGGACUCAUCAGAGCCUCUCCCACCCUUCCCCAUUCUGUGUCAGACCUGCCCCUGCUUCCCAUCCUUGGGACUUCCUGGUGUAAAAUACUAUCCCACCCAGUGUUACUCCUUAGACAGCAAGAGAUAGUCCAAAAACUAGACUGAAAUUCCAGGUCUCGCUGUGGGCAGUGGCGCUCCUCUUCACUUUGCUGGGACAUUGGUUCAACAGCCAAUUAGCAUAUGUAUUUGUGUUGACCCUUCUGUUACCAACCUAGUAGUUUACUUAUUUAACAAAUGACUGGUGCCCUUGUUAGGUGCUGUGGGCACAGAAAGGUCUUUGAUGGCUCUGGAAAACUGAUGAUAUUUCUUAAUUUGGGGUAUGACAUUCUAAAUUUUUGUAGCACCAGGGAAAACGUGGUGGCAGCAGGUAAUGAGCCCAAGGCUACACAUUCUGGAAAUAAAAGGAAUGAUUUGUUACUAUCUUUUUUUUCCCCCUGUAGUGUGAGCUUAUGGAUCAGUUGUAUUAGUUGAUUAACUUACUGUAAGUAGAAUUUGUCCCUUUGGCCCUUUGCAUACCCCUGCCAUUAGUGCUAUCUAGUCUGGCUAAUAAGGGUCUCCACGUUGAGUUAGGCCACCAGUAUCUGACUCCUGAUUCCUUGGCUCAUUUUGGACAAGUUAUUUAAACUUUUGAUGCCUUACUUUUUUAUUUUGAAUAUGGAAAUAAGAGUACCUACCUUAUAGGGUUGUUUGAAAGAUUAAGUAAAAAAAAAUCAUUGAAAAUCACUCAGCACAUUACUCAGCACAUAGUAAGAGCUCAGUAAAGGAUAAGAAUAGUAAAUGUCACGUGAGCCCCUGUUGUGUUCCAGGCCUGGGCAUGGGCUCAGCACUGCACGGCUCCCAGGGGUGCCUUCCACGUGGACAACGAUGUGAAUAUCGCUCUGGAAUUGUGCAAUGCAGUGACCCCAUUCCAGAAACUGCUCUGAGUGCUUCACAUGUGUUAGCUCUUUAAUCCUUAAAAUAACCCAUUAUUGUUCCCACUUAUAAUUCAGACAGAGAGAUGUUAAUGGCUUUGCUCAAGUUUAGCCAGCUGGUAGGUGGCAAAGCUGGGGUGUGAGCCGUUCAUAUUAUUGUGGUAUGGACUGGCACAGUUGACCUGUCAGUCGUGAAAUGGAGGAACACUCUCCUUAACUUGGCUUUCUUUAUUAACCCAUAAUGCAUGGCUUGUCUUUGUGUAUUUUAAUAUUUCUUAGAAGCAGUUUAUAUUUUGAGCUUUUAAAAAUAAUACAUAUAAUUGCUGUUUAAUAAUAGAAAUUCAGAAAUUCACUUGACCUUGGGAAAAGGUUAUAUACUUUACUUAUCAAGUUCAACUAUAUGUGAUUAGGGCAAAAGAAAGGAAAGAGGAAAUGGGGGUUGGUGAGAGAGAGGAUGAGAACAAGCCCACUGGAUAUUUGAGUGGAACCAGCACAUCUACCUGCCCAUCCAUCUGUCUCCACUGAAGGAUAUGUCACCAGCCCAUGUUCUUCACUCAGAUGGCUUCAGUUCUCAUGUGACUUUAAUAAUGCAGGCAUUGUGCCACAUGGAGUGUAGUAAUGCACUUUUCAUACAACAUAGCCUAUAAGUGAAGCCAGGUAUUUUAGCUGGUACUCAACCAGAGAAGCAAGGAUUUGCUCCAAUACCAGAAGAAAAAACUAGCUGUGCUAGAAUUGUUGACAAGUGACAUGGAAAGUCCCCGGUGAGAUGCCUUUCUGAGGGAUUUUCAAGAGGACCAUCCUCUUCAAGAGACCAUUUUUUGCCUGCGUGGUGAUCAGUGACUUUCUGAAAUGGUCCUGGACCUUCCAUGGCACCUCCCUUGGCCACAGACCGACUAGGAAAAGCACCAACAGGUUUGUUCCAUUCUUCUCUAUUUUCUCCUACUCUCAACCUGAGUCCUCCCUUGACCUAGCCAGCCCCUUUGCAUAGGAUGGUUUGCUGAGCUGUAUUCCUCUCUCUCUUCAGGGUCCUGUAUUGCCUUUCUCUUUUGGCACUAGAAGCCUCUGACCCUCUAUGCCCUUCCUGAACUUUGUUGGCUCUUACCUGCCUAGAAGGAGAACUCAGACACAUGAAUUAGUACCAUUUAUGUUAUAGGGAACUUUUUGCAACCUUCUGAAUAUUUCAAAAUUAGUUUUCUUCCUCCAAAAAUUUCAUUCAGGAGGCCAAAAUGAGAAGGUUUUUCAUUUUAAGGUUAAAGUCUCUGUGAUAGUGAGAUUACAAUAGAGAUAGAUCAGUGCUGACUCCCUUUCCCUCAGAUUCUCAUCCUGCUUGCUGCUCUAAGGGUAGCAGCCUUAUAGGAACAGAUAGCAUUGGUGGCAUUUUCAUGAGAGCUUAGGGGUAUCUGACAAUUGAAAGCAGUUAUGACAAGGCUGUGUAGUUUCUCUGAUUGCCACAUGGAGGCAACUCAGGGCACCAUCAGAAUUGGAGGAGAUGAGUCUUUAUAUAAAAAUAGGAUGUUGUUGAUACAAUGAAGUCAAAAGAUGAAUCACCAUGCCCUCUACACCCUAACAAAACAUGUCUUCCUUUCUACUUAAGACCCAAAUAAAUUACUUUCUUCCGCUGCCAUUCACAGAGCUAAAUUAGAGCCUAGCUGAGAUGGAGCAGAACUUGUUUUGUCUAGGAUGAAGCAAACCAAAAUGGCAAGAUUACCAGUUGCUACAAGGGCCUAGCCACAGUGGGCACUCAGGUGUUAGUUCAUCUGCUGUUUGCUGAGGGGAUUUCAUUCCACAAGUUACUUUUGUCAGGGGGCUGUAUUAGGAGAAUAUUCUUGCCCUAAUGUUGUGGGAGUCUGAGAGAAGGAGCUGUAUUAGUCUGUUUUUAUGCUUGCUGAGAGAGAUAUACCUUGGACUGGGCAAUUUACAAAAGAAGUAGGUUUAAUGGACUCACAGUCCCAUGUGGCGCAGAGGCCUCGCAAUCAUGGUGGAAUGUGACAGACACAUCUCACAUGGUGGCAGAUGAGAGAAGAAAACUUGUGCAGGAAACUCCCCUUUAUAAAACCAUCAGAUCUCAUGAAACUUAUUCACUGUUACAAGAACAGCAAGGGAAAGAUCAUUCCUCAUGAUUCAAUUACCUCCCACCGGGUCCCCCCCCCCCAACGUGGGAAUUGUGGGAGCUAUAAUUCAAGAUGAGAUUUGCGUGGGGACACAGCUAAACCAUAUCACUGGCUUAGAAAUGUGAAUACAGAAUCUAAAUUGAGCCUAUUCUUCAUUUUUACACCUGAUUGCUUUGAAUUAAUCAGGAUUGAACUUAAGUGGAAUGCUCCCUGGCUUCCUCAAAGCUGGGUUCAUUGAACCUCUUAGGUCUUGCUCAUAAUUUCUCUCUCAAGGUUGUCAUCACAUUUUGUCAGAAUUACCUGUUCCAUGCACUUCUUAACGGUUGAGACUGUGACAUAAUUGGUACCGAAACUGGUGUCUGGCAUAUAAUUGGUGCUUCUUUGUGGAAUGAAUGAAUGGUGUUAAGAUGUUAUAUUUUUCCUUUUUUCAGCAAGUUUCUUAAAUAACAAAACCAGAUGGAUUCUAUAGGGAAUGUGACAGGAUCAUGCCAGCUCUCAACAAAAGCACUAUCCAGGCAUUUUACGUACUGAACCAGCUGUGCUGGGAUUUUUAUUUAAAGAAAUAUGAUGUGAAAGGCUGUGUUAACCCUCUGAACCCAAUUUUUAGAGAAUGUGAAAUUGUAAAAGCUUGGAAACCUUAAGAUGAAUGAAAAUUCUUUUUCUUACCAUUUCUGUACUAGAACCAAAAGAAUGAGAGGGCCUAGGACCAGAUCUCUUUAAAGUGGAGUGGGCACUUACAGUUACUGCAGUUCUAAUCGAAUGAGGGUUAGUCCAUGAGUCACUUAUUCCGAGAAAACUAAAGGAGUUUUGAAAGCCAGGAGAAGCAAGUGAGUUAGCCAGAAGAACAUCAGCAAACAAGGAUAUAGUCCAUCACGCUAAGAAAAUGAUAUUUCCUGUCUUCUUUAAACUGAAUCUGGACAGCUCCAGGAUUAGAAUCAGUGUUCUGGGUUUUUAUAAUUGAAUAUUAUAUCACAAAAUUGUUUUCCAAGUUGCCACAUUAUCAUUUUAAACAAAGUCAUAGCAUCCUAUUAAAUCAAUCUGCUCUAAUUUGGCUGGUUGGUUAUUUCCAAUUUUUUAAAAAACUAUAAUAAGUAAUGUUGCCAUGAGCAUCUUAUUGUGUACAAAGUUUCUUUAUUCCUUUAGGAUGAAUUGGUAGUGCAUUAAGGGUGAGAAACAUUUUUGUGGCUCUGGAUACAUAUUGCUAGAAUACUUUUCAAAGGGCUGUAGUGAAUACAUCCAGGGCCUAUUUUAGCUCCUUUUGAAAACCGUGUGCUCCCACUCACUGUCAUUCACUGCUUUGUGAUCACCUGUUCUUGUUAUAAAUCUGAAACUGUAUACGCCACAUUGCUCCCUCUUUAUCACUUGCCACAAGCUCAUACAAAAGCCAGGAUCCCAUGAGUUUCAGUCCCAGGAGAGCACCAAAUUGAAGGAAACGUCCAACAGUAAAAGUCAAUUAGAAAUAUUUAUUUUCAGUGUUUAUUAUUUCUCUCAAAGAAAUCUAGUGGACAUUCUUAAAAUGCUGGUCCUUUCCUUUUCAGUCAUGUACGCUGCACUUGCUAGAUGCCUCUCCAUCUCUCAUCCCAUUGCUAUCUCACCUCUCAUUGGCUUCUCUUUUUUUUUUUCCUAUUGGCACCUGCUGUCUAGUUCAUUUAUCCAGCCAUGUUCCCAAAGCCCAAUUUUUAAAAAAACUAUACAGCCCUUCUUGCUGUACAGAACCUCUUCGGGGAAAUAGAGUCUAAAUGUCCUCUUGGGAUUUUCUCACUCUCAGACUCAGACUUCAUGUAACAAGGGAAAAACCCUGAAGCCGACCUGGCAAGCAAGAAUAUACCUUCGUUAGAAGCAGACAAGGAUGGGGGAAGACCAGGGAUAGUCACAUGUUAAUAAUUUUGUCCCCACCACAGAUGAUAACAGCAAUAAUAACAACAGCACUUAGAUGUUAGUCAGGCCAGGCACUAUUCUAAGCACUUGACAUGUAUUGUCACUGAAUCCUCAUAACAACCUUAUGAAUUAACUAACAUGAUCAACCCCAUGUUUUAAGUGAAGAAACUGAACUAGACAAUGUUUUAAGUUUCUUGAUGUCAUACAGUAAGUGACAGAGCUUGGGAUAUACACUAGGUGGUCUUGCGCUAGAGUCUGGGUUCUUAACUACUGUACCAUACUGCUUCAGCUUGCUUAUAUACAUACAUGCACAUACAUGCAUGUGUUAAUCUGUGAUAUAUUACAUAUAUAACACUUUUGGAUUUUUCUUAUUUUGUCAAAAUGUAGAGCAAGAACAUGAAAACACUAUGGAGUACCCAUUUCUUAUGAGUUAUUUCUUUUAAUUAAAAAAAUUUCCUUUUCCAGGUGACUUUGUGCUACUGUAUCAGUCUGUGUCAGAUCUUAUUGAUCCAGGCUAUGGAUCUUUAUUACUUCUUGUGAUGAAAAAGGCAUGUUUUGACAAGGUCAGUGGAAAGAUGCAAUACAUCUUAGACUCCGGAAUAUCCAUCUAGUAAAAUGGAUGUGCUAGUUUACUGACAGGUGUGGUGCUGAGGCUCUGAAAGAAAGGAGUUUGUAAUUUGAUUUUUACCAAUUUAUCAAGUAAAUGCACACAUCCUGCCUAUGUCUUGGGUUUGUUUUUCUUGCAUCAGCUUUCAUCAUUUAUAUUUUUCUUUCAGAUAUGCCAAUUAGGUGCCCCAGUUCAUUGUUUUCAGCCCAGAGACAUGCACUAUGCAGUGCUCAGAUAAGAUUCCCCUUCUUUGGAAAAAUUGGUCGCAUAUUACAUACAUGGACACACUUUUCUCAGUCAGAGGACAAAAGUAGGAAGUUUUUGAUUUUGUUCAAGAAGAAAAUGGCAAUUUAGGUCACUCUUCACAGGAAAAAUUGCCUUUAAAAACAUUAAUAAAACAUUCACUUUGAAAUGCUGCUGCGAGUCUGCUCUUCAAAGAGGAGUGCCUGUUGAGAAAAGGCAAUAGCCAUCCAGUUUUCUAUAGUGGAAAGAAUGCUGGAAUAGGGUUGAAGAGAUCUGAGGUUGCAGUCAUUUCUGCUGAUUUGGGGGGUUUAUUAUCUUCUGAGUUUUACUGUAUCAUUUGUGAUAUGAAGGUUUGCACUAAAUAAUGUCUAUACCUUUCUUCAUACAUAAUACAUUUAAGAUAAACCUUUCUACAACCAUCUGAUCUUUGACAAGUCUGACAAAAACAAGCAAUAGGGAAAGGAUUCUCUGUUUAAUAAAUGGUGUUGGGAUAACUGGCUAGCCAUGUGCAGAAAGCAGAAACUGGACCCCUUCCUGACACCUUACACUAAAAUUAACUCCAGAAGGAUUAAAGACUUAAACAUAAGAUUUAACAUCUAAAUCUUGGUUUGCCUAGGUUUUCUUCUAGGGUUCUUAGAAGAAAAAACCCUAGAAGAAAACCUAGGCAAAACCAUUCAGGACAUAGGCAUAGGGAAGGACUUCAUGACUAAACACGAAAAGCCAAAAUAGACAAAAACUCCAGAGCUUCUGUACAGCAAAAGAAACAAUCAUUAGAGUGAAUCAGCAACCAACAGAAUGGGAAAACAUUUUUACAAUCUAUCCAUCUGACAAAGGGCUAAUAUCCAGAAUCGACAAAGAACUAAAACAGAUUUACAAGAAAAAAAAACAAACCCGUUCAAAAGUGGGCAAAGGACAUGAACAGACAGUUUUCAAAAGAAGACAUAUAUGAGGCCAAUGAACAUAUGAAAAAAUGCUCAUCAUUGAUUAUUAGAGAAAUGCAAAUCAAAACCACAUUGAGAUACCACCUUCUGCCAGUUAGAAUGGUGAUCAUUAAAAAAUCUGGAGACAACAGAUGCUGGAGAGAAUGUGGAGAAAUAGGAACAUUUUGCACUGUUGAUGGGAGUGUAAAUUAGUUCAACCAUUGUGGAAGACAGUGUGGCACUUCCUCAAGGACCUAGAAAUAGGAAUUCCAUUUGACCCAGCAAUCCCAUUACUGGGUAUAUACCCAAAGGAUUAUAAGUCAUUCUAGUAUAAAGACACACGCACACUUAUGUUAAUAGAGGCACUGUUUACAAAAGCAAAGACCUGGAACCAACCCAAAUGCCUAUCGACGACAGACUGGACAAGGAAAAUGUGGCACAUAUACACCAGGAAAUACUGUGCAGCCAUAAAAAGUGAUGAGUUUGUGUCCUUUGUAGGGACAUGGAUGAAUCCGGAAGCCAUCCUUCUCAGCAAACUGACACAAGAACAGAAAAUCAAACAUUGCAUAUUGUCACUCAUAGGCGGAUGUUGAACAAUGAGAACACAUGGACACAGGGAGGGGAGCAUCACACACUGGGGUCUGUUGAGGGGGACUAAGGGAGGCACAGCGUGGUGGGGUGGGAGGUUGGGGAGGGAUAAUAUGGGGAGAAAUGCCAUAUAUAGGUGACGGGGAUAGAGGCAGCAAACCACAUUGCUGUGUAUGCCUCUAUGCAACAAUCCUGCAUGAUCUGCACAAGUACCCCAGAACCUAAAGUGCAAUAAAAAUAUAAAUAUAUGUAUUUAUAUAAAUAAAUAAAUAUAAUAAACCUCUAUGUAGGUGGCCUUUAAUAUCUGUCUGUCCUGUGCAGUUGAUUCUGGGGACUCCCAGGAAUUGGCAAUGCCUCCCUGCUGGACAGUCCUCACUCCCCUCACAUUCUUACUUAUCAAUCUGAACUGGCUGGCUGAAACUCAAAAUUAGCAAUUCCUUCCUUAAGAUUAAGCACUAGGUAAGAUAAAAAUAUUCCUGGGAGAAUCUAUGUUAGUUAUAUGCUAUAAUUAUUUAGUUCAGUUAACUAAUAAGCAGUAACUUAGUAUGUCAACUAUUUGAGAUACUGUGUUGGGCUCUGGGUGUGUGUGGAGUGGGUGAGGAGGAGUGCAAAGAUGCAUGAGAGAUGGCCCUGCCCUUGAUGCUGGAGAAUGGGCAAAGCUGCAGUGUCAGGUGAGAGCUGCCUGUGAUGGAUGCUGUACGAGUUUAAAUGGGGAGAGGGAUUGCUGGGAAUCUUUUUAAAACUGAGAUCAGGUUUGAACAUGACUUUCCAAGAUGGUUGACUGAACAAAAGACAUAGGUAAGAACCUAUGGCUUGACAUGAAUCAAAACUUAUAGAUGGGAAUAGCCAAGGCAUGUUCGCAACCAGUUCAAGGUCAAGCCAGAGUACCAUUAAAGGUGGACAAAGAGAAUUGGAAUGUUGUGGGCUGGGUAUGGUGGCUCGUGCCUGUAAUCCUAGCCAUUUGGGAGGCUGAGGCAGGCAGAUAACCUGAGGUCAGGAGUUUGAGACCAGCCUGGCCAAUAUGGUGAAACCCUGUCUCUACUAAAAUUGCAAAAAUUAGCCAGGCAUGGUGGCAUCUACCUGUAAUCCCAGCUACUCAGGAGGCUGAGGCAGGAGAAUCGCUUGAACCUGGGAGCUGGAGGUUGCAGUAACCCGAGAUUGCGCUGCUGCACUCUAGCCUGGGCAAUAGAGUAAGACUCUGUUUCAGAAAAAAGAAAAGAAAAUUGGAAUGAAUGCAAUAAAUGAAAAGGAGUGACCAUUUAUUUUUGAACAAGGGACUGAUAUACCAAUGGCGAAUUUGAGAAACUGUGUGUGGCAGGGCAAAAUAGUUUUGAGAGGAAACAGUCCCUAAGGCUUCCAAGUUCCAACCCUUACUCCUUGAAUGUGUGUUUAAAAAAUUUGAUCUGAAGAUCCUUUUGGGAAGAAAUGUUGAGUAUAAAUAUUCUUGCCAGCCAAUAUAAGCAGCUCUGGAAGAAAAAGGAAAUGUUUGAGGGAUGCUAACGUGAAGAGACAGGGCUUGGAAUGCCCACUCAGGCCUGGUUUUCUAGUCCCAGCAACAUUAAUGUUCAUCCUGUUUCUUCCUUCAAUUUUUCUGGCCCUUAAGACAGCAAAUGUCAAACUGUGAAAGACCACAAGUACUUUUCUUUGUUAUAUUUAGCUUCUCAUAGUUUUUAAAAAAUAUAAAAGCUAUAAAAUCUGCCUCAUCUCUCAUUUCUCCAUCCUUUCACUGGCUGAGGAUGUAUUUAACAGGUUUCAUAUUGGAAUUGCCAGGAAAAGUUCAGGCUGUUUAUGUCUGCAUAGCAAAUCAUCCUUGAGUCUAGGGGCUUAACACAACAGUCACUUCCAUACCUCACAAAUCUCUAAUCUGAGCUGGUCCAGGUAGGGAGGUUCAGGUCUGCUCUGUGUGCCAUCAGCUGGGAUGGGUCGAGUGGAGGCUGGAGGGUCCACUUUCAAGAUAGCUCACUUACGUGGCUGGCAGCCAGCGGAUUGCAGAUGAGGGGUCAUUAGAAGACCCAACAUGAGGGGAGCCCUGCUUCCUGUCCACAUGCACCUGUGGUUUGUUGGCUUCCAUAUAGCACGGUGGCUGAGUUCCAAAAGUGAACAUCAGGGGUUGUAAUAUGCUUUAUGUGCGUAACUUGGGUUGUGCUUUGAAAAUUCUAACCCUUUGAUUAAGGGAUAAGGGUAGGCCCUUCAGCUACAUAGUUCUUUAAAAUCCAUGUCCCUGACUCUGAUGUCCUACUUAAAGGACUGAUGUCCAUGGGAGAUAUUCCAGCCCUCAAAGUGUGUGGGGUGCCUGAGCUCUCAGCAAAGAUGGGAAGUUGAGUCACACUGAUGUGAACUGAGGUGAUGAUGGGACUCCCUGGGUAGAGUUGUCUUGAAGAGGCACAGAAUCAAUCAUAAAAUACUAUUCUCUGUGAUUUAAAAGUCAAGUGCUCAGUUUUCGGCACUCUCUUAAUCUUGUUCAAAAGGAAACUUAAGAGAAUGUUGCUGUACUGUUUUCUUCAAAUGAGUUCUGUGCGGCUAAAGUUACACUUGGUAGCUCUUGGCUUGUCUUUAGUUUCAAAUGUAGGGGGAGAGGGGAUGUUGUUUGGAGAGUCCUCUAAGCCCUCUCUGCUGAUGGAAAGAACAUGUUUCAGUGCCUUUUGGCCUCCCAAGUUUCUCCCAAGUUGUUUUUGAGUCAUUUAGAAAUAACUGAACUGGAUUAAGCAAACCCUUUUGGCUUCAUAGCUUCAAUAUUUAUUAGUCACUUGUCUUAUAGAGCAGGUUUUUGCCCUAUAAUCUUCAAGGCUCAGGCCAUUUAUUCUAUGAGUGAUACUAUCUGAUGUCACACUGACAUAUAUCGGUACACUGGUAUUUAUCAAGACUAUUUAUGUAAUGAAACCAUAUGUUGGAAGAAGUCUAUGCCUGUAUCAUUAGUCUUGGAAGCAGAAGCUUUUUCCAUUGGAUGCAGUACCUGGGAUUGUGGUAUAUAAUAUUUUAAUUGAAUCCAGGAUGUUUUGGUAUUACAAUAUUUAGGAAGGUUAAAGAAUUCGAAACAGAAUUGUCCAAGUAAUAAAGAGUGAGCCAUUUUUAUAAAGAUCCUGUUCCCUAGGUGCUCAUGGUUUGUGGAAACCUCAGGUGGAGUCAUUUCUGAAGAAUGCUAGACUGAAAAUAAUGUCACGGGGUCCAGGCAGGAAACAUAGCAUAUUCAAACAGAUGAUUCAGAACAGACCUAUUUACAAAAGUGUUGGCAUGGUUAAAAGAAACCAACAAAGGAUGACGGAAGCACCCUGAGAGGCCACUUAACUUCUGAGCCUGGAGGGGAUUGGGUAGGGAACUAAACUCCUAUGUGGGAGGUGCCACUGGACAGGGGCUGUGUCUUUCACAGAGGAGCAUACCCACCCACCCACCAGGAGGAUGGUGGGAAGAGUAAACCCACCAGUUCCUCAUCUUUCUGAUCACCUGCCAAGGCCUUCCAUUGUCAAACCUCAGCCAAAACCCUGAAAGGCCAGAAGGCUAAUUGCUACGUUCCAUUAAAAUUCAGCCUUCUGGAAUACAGAGCAGCAUUGAGAAGGGUAGAAAGUGGAUUUGAAGGAGCCAGUGGAAAGUAUCCAUCACGACACAUACACACAACCUUAUGGUUUUGGUUUGUCAGGGUUUGUUUUACAAAGACAAGCUCAUCAGGGAGGCCUAAGUUGCAUGGGUAAAAUUAAACAUAAGUCUCUCUCUACUAAUAUAAGGGUGAAAAUUUAGAUUGCAUAGAAAUCAUUCCAAAAUGUCAUUAGCUCUGGGACAAAGAGAAGUUGAGACUUCAUAUCAUUCUUCAGGCCAUGGCAUAGGGAUGGAGUCCUGGGGUUAGAGAACAGGGGAGGGCUAAGGUGUUUGGAACUAACUUUUCCUAAAGAAAAGGAAAUCCUAGUUCUGUAACAGAAAAUAAGACCUCAGCAGAGCCCCUGAGAUGGGCCACGGGUGGGGAAGAAGAGGAAACAUGCCCAUUAAUUAGGUGACAGCAGCCCUUACUACCUGGUCGCAGAGGGACAGAACCCCAAAGGUAGGUGAAAAAUGUGCUCAAAAGGGAGGACAGUUCUGAGACUCAUUCAGCCUGUAUCUCAGAAGUAUACUUAUCUGGUAGAAUGCAGCCACUUGGGGGUCUAUUCACACUGUGGCUUACUUCUCCUUUAAAAAUGAAAUUGUUUAGACUCUGCAUACUCAGUGGGUUCAUGCUGCAUUUUGGUGCUGAAGCUGCCCGAGAUGGAAGGGAAGAGCCUGUGUGUGCUGAACCCCUCACAGUUUCCAGUGUAUGCUAACUUAUUCAAGGUCAUGGAACACGUGGUAUAUGACAAUGGUACAUGGAAUUUUUUAUGUAUGAGAAAUCAUAGGAAUUUUCAAGGCUACAUCCUUUUGUGAGAAGCCUAACUGCUUGCACAGUGGCUUUCAAUGUACAAGGUAGGUCCAUGGCGUUUCCCAUCCAGUCUGCCUUAAUCCCUAAUAUCCUAAAGGACUUGGUGCAUGACAUGCUCGUGGCACCUGCUCAAAAGCAGUAUUUUAAGGUAGUUUCAGUUUCUUUGGCUUAGAUUGUGUGUUAGUCUGUUUUUGUGUUGCUGUAAGGGAAUACCUGAGACUGGGUAAUUGAUAAAAGAGGUUUAUUUGGCUCACAGUUCUGCAGGGUGUACAAGCAUGGCACCAGCAUCUGCUUGGCUUCUGAUGAGGCGUCAGGAAGCUUACAACGAUGGUGGAAAGUAGAGGGGGAGCAAACACAUCAUAUGAUGAGAGUGGGAGCAAGAAAGAGACAGGGGAGGUGCCACACUUUUUUCAACAACCAGAUCUUGCAUGAACUCAGAGGGAGAACUCACUCAUUAUCACAAGGAGGACACCAAGCCAUUGAUGAGGGAUCUCAUCACCCAGACACCUCCCAAAAGGCCCCACUUGCAACACUGGGGAUCACAUUUCAACAUGAGAUUUGGAGGGGACAAAACAUCAAAACCAUAUCAGAAUGAAUCUGACUCUUUCUCCCAAAAUAAGGAUGUGAACAACCCGUUGAUACUUAGAAUUCAUGUACACUGAAGACUGCUUUUAGAAAAAGAAAUGUUCACAUAAAUAGGUUAUAGUUCCUUAAAAAGCCAGGUUCAGCAGAUGUAGCCAUAAAAAGAUUCACAGGAGCUGAGAAGUUCCUUAUGGCCAUUUAAUUUGAAAGUCACUUUAAUUUGUCAUUGGUCUUGAAUUCAAAUAUUCACAAAGGUAACCCUUGGGCAGAAGAAUAAAUCAGUACUGUUAAUUGCACUUGUUUAAUUCAACCAUGAGGAAAAUCAAUCCUUUCAUAAGCGCCUGGUUUCUGCUGCUGAACCAGCCCUUUUAUUUUGUGAUGGAAAGAAAGGUUAUAAAAUGUUUUUAAUUAAAAGUUUUAAUCUUUUUUGCCCUUCUCUAGAAAUACAUUGUGGAAGAAUACUAUUUUAAUUAGAAGAAAUAUUUAGCUCAAUAAUACUAAAUUGUAACUGGCUAUAAUCAGGAAAUGAAAUAAUCAAGAUAGGACAUCUGAAGGAACCCACAAGGUUUCUUAUAGGUAUGCAUAUAAGAAAUUUACACUGAGAUCUGUAGUUUUUCAGAAUAGGCACCAAGGAAUCCUGGUAAUAAAACAACAGGUUGGCCAUUUGCUACGUGCAAAACUAAUUUGAGAAAUAGAAGAGGAGGUUAUUUCCUUCAAGGAGCCAAUCUGAUUGCAGAGAUAAAACUCAUGAAAGGUGAUUGAUAUGCAAGAAUUAAAUGACCGUUCAGUUGAAAUGAUGCCACAAAACUGUACUUAUCUUCCAGAUAAAUAGUACUGGUAAUAUGUGCUUUAUUUGGAAAAGAGAGAGAUGGUUGUGGAAAGGUGUGCAGCGAGUUGGAGAUGGAACUUGAAUUGGAUUUUUAAGGAGGAGUAGGACUUGGAUAGACUUAGAAGGGCCUUGGGCAUGACAGAAGAAAAGCAAGAAAUAAUAGGGCUUAAAAUGGCCUGGGAUCUUCAUGGCCACGCAAUCUGGAUGGUACAUGAAUACCGCCAGUGACUCACUGCUUUCGUGUGUAACCUGCUCUAUUUUUGCACAGCAUUAGUCAUCAGAAAGUACUUUUGUUUAGUCUUCAGGUGAAAUCUAUCCCUGCCCCUUGAGCUUCUAUUUGAGUUCUUUCCGUGUACAGAAAUAUAAAACCCUCUUCCAAAUAUGAGCCCUUGAAAUAUGUGAAGAGGACUAUUUUGUAUCCCCUAAGUUUUCUUUUCUUCCCCAGUCCUUCAGCUAUGCCUCAUUUUUCAUUGUUUCCAGAUACUUUGCCUUCUUGUUCAGUUUUCUCUGUGUAUCUUGAGACCCUUCACCAAUACGUCCUUCCCUUGCAAAGCAUGGUCUGAUCCCAGCCCUAUUAAAAACCUACAGCCCCUCUGCAGCACCCAGAAUAAAUCUGGCCUCCUUGCUUACCUGUGACAUAGUUCUUCAAUGGGGGCCAAAAAGUGUUUGUACUGUGCACCCUUCCUCCUCUUCAGUAAAAAUGCCACCUGUGCCAGAAGACAUGGCAUAACUGUUACAUAGCAUCUAAUGUGUGAUCUACCUCCACUUUUCCCCAUGAGUGGGCAGGGAGAAGAUGGGGAGUGGGGUUUUGCGGUUGUACAUGUUCCCCCUUUUCCCCUUUGGUGAGAGAGCAAGGCCAUUGUCUGAGUGCUAUGGGCACUAUCUUUUGUUGUCUUGGCUACUCUGUGGCUUCUAGGGAUGCCAAGACUGAUGUGGAAUCAUCCAGCACCACCCCCACUGCUCGCCAUUUUGGCCAUGGUUCAGUGCUGUGUUCUUGCCCUUCAGAGCUGCCAAGCCUUCACAGGGCCACCACCACCCUGUCCUGCAAGUGAGCUUAUGAGGCCCCUCAGGCCCUGAUGUAACAAAAGGACUAUCCUGGCUGAAUUUCUGAUUUUCCCCAUUUCUUGAAGCUAACAGGGUCUCCAGGGCAUCUAGACUGGCUGGGAAAGAAGGUUAGCUGCCAGAAGGACAGAGUCUUGCAGAAUCCAUCCUUCACACUAUAGAUGGGGAGUUGCUCACUUUUCUGUGUGCUGCCCCUGCUCUGUGUUGUCAUGAUUUGAUGAGCUGUUACAGCCUAACUCAGUCACAUGCUUUCAGCAUUCUGAAAGGAAAACCAUGUCUAUAAAUCCCAGGAAGAAGAAGAGAUUGUAGCUUUUGGCUUUACUGAGAAAACUUGAAAUGACUUCUUGCUUUUAUCCUGUCUUAUUUUAAAGUGGGUAGCAUGGUUUCGCUGUAGAUCCCCCUUCCCAUUCUGAGAUUUCUCAUGGUUAGUUGUUGAUUUGCUGUAAACUCCAAGAAUGAUACAGGACUCGGUUUUUAUUCUCUGCAAUAGCACUUACUUCCUGAUGUUUAUCAUACACGUUUGGUGAUUUGUUGUCAGUUGCCUGAGAGUAGGAACUUUGUCUUUGUUCAUUACUCUGUCCCCAGCAUCUGGGGUGGUAGACAUGCAAUGAACAGUGGAAUGACUGCUAAGCCGUUCUUGGUGUAGAAUGCAUUCUUCUCCAUAUUUUGGGGUAGGGCUGGCCUUAUAUAAGAGCCUUGUUAGGUUUUGGCACAAAGAAAUUUCUCCAGGAUGACUGUUGCCUGAAAGACCCCCUCCUGGUUACUUACUAGUCCUUGGGGUUGCUCCCAGUGUCCCCUUGCCGGUGGUCAUCUGCCCAGCCUCACUCUUGGAAUCUUCUGGAAUGAAAAUUUGCCCACUGCCUUUUGCUUCUCUAGGGUUUGGCUCUCUGAGCAUUUCUUGCCUGUUUGUAUGUGGGCUUAUCUGAUUGAUCUGAGUAGUCUACCAUUUGACUGAUAGUUUGCUCCCCAUCUUGUUCAUUACUGUUUUAUAUCUCUGAACCACUGAAAAAUGGCAUCCUAUUUCUUAAAGGACCAUGGCAUUCAGAUCCAGGAAUUAAGCUUCAGGCAAUCAUGUAUUGCUAUCUGCUUUUUACCCAACACUUUUUUUUUUCUAACCAAACACUUCAAAGAGCUUGCUUGCCGCCUUUUCUUCAUUUCUUGCUUCCUUCCUCCCACUCCUCGGCACACAUUUGUUGAUCCCCUACUUUUUGCCAAGCCCUUGUGCUGUGGAUCCGUGGUGAAUAGGACAAGCAGGACGCCUGCCCUCUCAUGCAUGUUAGAGACUAUUAUAAAACAGCGUCCUCACCACCACCACCUGCACACGUUAUGCAUGCUUCAGCUGAAGGGUUGAGUUCCAUUCUGACAGAUACCAUCAUGACAUAGAGACUGAGUUGUGGAAUCAGGCAGAUCUGAGCUGACCUCCCAGGUCUUUCAUUUAUUACCCAGGUGACCUUGGGCAGGUAACAAAGUCUUAAAGCAUCAGUUUCCUCAUUGGUAUAAUCAGGAGAAUAAUAGUCUUCACCUUGCAGAAUUCAUAGGAAGAUAAAAUGAAAUACAAUUUAUGUAAAGCACUUAGGACAGGACCUGACUCUUAAUCAAUGUCAGUAAUGAGAGUGAGGAUGGUGAUAAUCUCCGGGAGCCUGGAUGGAGGAUGUGGAAUUAGUUCAACCUUGAUUAUGAUACAAAUGCUCUUAAUCACCAUUUACUUAACUAAAGGAUAAAAGGUUCUGUUUAAAUUAGCAAAGGGGGAAAAAAGAGGUAAACGUAGUUGUGAUACAUGAGUAUAGUAAUCAUGUUUUCUGAACUUGAAAAAGCAGCCUUUGUGGUAUGACCAGCAGGCAUGGGCACUUCUUGCGGGGGUGGGGGUGGGGGUGGGCACAAUGUUUGUAUUUAGGUCACUGGUUGCUGUAUGAACAGGGCACAACUACCCUAACAAAGAAGCUGCUGAGAGAGGACAAGGGGCUUGUUGGUGAGGGAGCACUGAGGGCAGAGAAAAGGAAGAGGAGAGGAAACAAAACCCCUAGGCUUGCUCAUUUCCUGCUCUAUUUACUGUGACUUACCUAGAGCUCUUUUAGCCUUUCUUUAAAUAAUUGAAGACCAUCUGAAAUACCAGAGCCUUCAUGAACGUUAAGUAAUAUACCUAGUGGCCCUAUGCUAAGCUGGGAGAAAAGUCCUGUGUAUUAUACUCCAAAGGGAUUGCUGUGUGGGUCAUAAAGGAGGAAUUUAUCACCAAAAUAGGAGGGCAGGUACCUGUCUGUACUCGUUCCAGAGUCUGGUUGAGAGCUGUCUAAGGAUUGCAGCCCCCAGAAAUGCUUAGGGCAGAGCAGGUGCACCUGGAAGGACGAACAGUGAGUUGUCCAUGAGUGUUCACAUCUGUAUGGCCUUUAGUGGGAUGUCUGCUUCAAACAGUGAGAGCAGAAAGGGUCUAAAGGGCCAACUACUCAUUAAUAACAACAAAUAAAUUUGUUGCUUGAACAUUCAGCUAAUUUGAAAAUUAUUUCAUUUUUCAAUGCCUUUUAGCAAUUCAAGCACAUAGAAAAUUUCUUUGGGAAUCUUAAUAACAAUUCCAACAAAAAUGUCCUAAAGGAUGGAAAAAAAGUCUCCCAAUUCUCAUAGAAUACUUUUAGCUUUUCAGCAGAGGUAUCCAAACAUAGAGUGUGAAUGUUGAAUAAAUAUAGUUUAGGACAAAAAUAGAAAAUAGAGACUUGUUCUCCUAGUGCGAAAACACGUGUUAACAACCACAAUAUUUUUCUUUUUUUUUCACUGUAAAAAAAAAUUCUGGGUAAAUGUUUCAUGCUGGACAGAUGGCUAUUUUUCCUUUGCAUCUUUUCAUUACCUGCUGAGAGAGAGGUAACAAAAAGGUGGAAAGGAGAAAUAACCAUUUUUCUCCGCCAGAUAACUCACAUUUUCAUGUGUCUUUGUUUUUCUUUAAAUUUCCAUCAGGAAAGGGCUCAGAAAAGAUCGUGGUGAGACGAAGUAUCUUCAUGUAAGCCUGCUAUUUCCUAGGCAUGGUUGGGGGCCCACCCCAACUUCCUGGCACUGUCCUCAGCCCCUUACUGCCUCUUUCCCCCCUCCUGCCCCUUUGCCUUGGAUGCUCUUACAGUGUCCAUGUUUCUUCUCCAUAGCUCUUAUCACAGUAAUAAUUUAAGAAUAAAUUUUGUGGUUCAUUUUUAAGUACUUCCCUUCUUUGCUAGACUGUGAUGUCCACGAGGGCAGGGGGUCAGACUAUUCACCUGGGUAUACACUGGGUCUGGCCACAUGCCUGACGCAUAGUAAGAGCUUGGUUUAUAUUGUUGAAGAAUAGCUGACAUUUAUCGAAUGACAGGCGUCCUCCUAAUGGAAGAAUCAGCCUUUAAAAUACUUGACAAACCAUCAAAAAAAUAAAUAAGCUUCAAAUAAAAUCUAAAAGAAUCUAUGUGUACAAUUUAUUUUGUAUAUUGCUUUGAGUCUUUAAGCUAUUGCAUACAUCAGAUGCUACACUAGCUUAAAUAUGAACAUUCGAGUUUCCAAAAGUGUGAAUUGAGUUCAAAUAAAUUAUUUUAUCUCUUCUUCCCUGUGUGAGUGAGGGAAGGGGAGGGGAGUUUUGCUAAACUGAAGUUAACAUAGAGAGAGAAGGUCAUUGUUGUUGGGGGGUUCCCCAAGCCCAGGUCUCUCAGGAGAACAAUCAAAGAGACAUUGCUUGUGUACCAGCCAGGGUUCCGACAGGAGGUGGCAGGCACUCAAAUGGGUAAUUUGAGGAGAAUUUAACAAAGGGAUGACUUGUGAAAGUGAGGGCGGGGUUUAUAGAAAUCAUUUAGAGAUAGUGCAGCAUCCAGGGCUGGCUACAGCUGAGAGCCUUUAAUGCCUCUAGGCUGGAAAAGUAGGGCAUGAAGAGUUACCAGAACCCACAGAGAAAAGCUAUAAAGAGCUGGGCACCUAAAAGGAGCUUUGAAAAUGGUAACAGCACAUAGCAAACCCACAGCAUCUUGGCAGGGAGGAAGCUAGGGAAGUGGAUGCUUUUCUCCCAUCUCCCAACCUCCUGCCAAUGCCUUCUGUGAGUACAGCAGUCGGGGCAUAAGGGAACCAUUGCUUUAGUCAUGAGGGCCAAUUGUACAAGGCCCAGAGCAGGGUAGAAUAGGUUGGAGAGUGAAGGUGAAAUGCAAAGAGAAGAUACAAGGUAAAAAAGAAGGUAGAAGGCCGGGCGCGGUGGCUCACGCCUGUAAUCCCAGCACUUUGGGAGGCCGAGGCGGGUGGAUCACGAGGUCAACAGAUCAAGACCACCUGGUCAACAUGGUGAAACCCCGUUUCUACUAAAAAUACAAAAAAAAUUAGUGGGGCAUGGUGGCGUGUACCUGUAGUCCCAUCUACUCGGGAGGCUGAGGCAGGAGAAUUGCCUGAACCCAGGAGGCAGAGGUUGCGGUGAGCCAAGAUCUCGCCAUUGCACUCCAGCCUGGGUAACAAGAGCGAAAACUCCGUCUCAAAAAAAAAAAAAAAAAAAAGAAGGUAGAAAACACAGCUUGCAUGCUCUCCACACAAACCCACCAGAGGACACAGAAAGCCUGGAAAGUCUGAAAACUCCAUAUUAAAAUGAGGACAUUUAUGUGAGCACCUUGGAAGGUCAACCUUGGCACUCUCCCAAGCAGAUGUAAUAUUGCCAAUGUCAAGUUGCUGCUCACUGGCAGCAGCUAGCCUUAGAUCUUAGAGGUCUUCCAAAUUCAAUCAUUUGAACAAAUGCUAGUAUUUGCAAGCACCUUGGUGUGUUGGGCGCAGGAGCCUUGCAAGGGUUAUUUUUGGUGCCCCAUUUUCCAGUAGAGCAAGGCUGUUCCUGUAGGCUUUUCUUUAGUAUGGUGACACUCACUGACACUCAUGGUGAGGCCCCAGGAGUAGCACCUGGGAGCUUAUUAGACAUGCAAAUCCAUGACCACACCCCAACAUUCUAAAUCAGCAUCUCUGGGGGUGGGGCUUAGAAAGCCACAUUUUAACAGCUCUCCAGGUGAUUGCUAUGCCCACUGAAGUUUGAGAAGCACUGCCUUUGCAGCUAUUGCAAACUUUUGGAACGUGAAGAAAUAAACUUAAGGCUGUGAGUAAAACAACCCUCACUGCACCAGUACACACAAUUUUUCCAUACUCAUGGCAUACUUUCAAAUAGUCCUGUAAAAUAAGGAAAUUGGAUUAGAGAAGUGGUUUUCAAACAGUGUUAUUUGAUCCCCUUAGAGCCAAAGGGGUCACUGGGCCAAUUCACUCAACUAAUGUAAUGUUUAUAAUAUUUCAUUUGUAUGUAAGGUUCUAAGACUUAAGAAACAUUGAAAAAACCUCUGGUUGAGAUGACCUAAAGUCCUCUCUUGCUCAAAUGUUCUAUGGCAUUGUGUAUAUGUGUCAGUUGGAUUGAUUCAGCAUGUGUGGUAUCUCUAUUUAAUGCUUACAUAGAUACAUAUUUUGUUUCAUUUCAAAAUAUUAGCACUGGCUUAUGGCCAGAAGUGCUAUUUUCCCAUUUCCUGUCCUUUCUGGCCUAGCUAAGGUGUUUUCCCAUAGAUCUUUCUACCCUGAAUGUAUGUAUAAUUUCUAGAAUAGCAGUUAACCCUUGUUGGCAUGUCAUUAGUUGCUUUACUAUCUUUUAUUGGUGUUUUGAACAUGCAAAAAAUUGCAGAAAGUAUCAUUGCAUGUUUGCUUCUAUCAGCUUAUGUGUUUGAGCUAGCCAUGUAAGCAGUGAGUUAUCAUAUAUAUUUUAAUGGAGGGACUUCAGCAGGCAGGAUCAGAGUUGUUCUAAUUCCUGUUGUGUACUUGACUUACAUGACAUCCCACAUGCUCGAGCAAGUGCCUGUCCUUUCUGUGCUUGCAUUUUCUUGUCAAAGGGCCAUGAUAAUAUACUGCCUCCCUAUGUCACAUGGGGUAGCUCCAGAAUUUCUACAUAGAAGGGGGUUUGGGGCAGUAAUCUUUUAGCUGGGGAUAGUAGCUCUCAGCACCUGGUACAGUGCCUGACUCACAGUAGCUCUUCAAUAAAUACGUGAAGUGCAGAAGAAUUUGUAACUCAGAUGUUGACUAGGGUCAGCUGAUUCUUUGAUAUAUAAAACGCACUCGAACUCUGUCCUAGGUGCUCUGCAACCUUAGAAGUUUAUGGUCUCAUGGUCCAUUCUGGCUCUGAUUUUUGGUUGCUACAGAACUCUCGGUCACAUGCUGAGAAUGCCUCACUUGUGACUCUUCCCCUCUCUGCUCUGUGUGAACUUACCACCAACUUCUUCUCCUUGGUUUACCCCGAACAAUUCUUAUACAUGCCAUUUGUGUGCAGUGGAUGCUCUUAGUUAUCUGUGGAUACCAGCUGGGAAACAGUACCACAUAGAUAAUUUAGGGUUAGUUUUCUUUUUAAAAAACGAUAUCCUGGGGAAUAGCACCUUUGAUACGAUGUGAUGAAAACUGCACUUUACUUCUGAAGUCUAAGUCAUCUGAAUCCCUAACCUCAAUCUAAGUAUGAGAGAAACAUCAGACAACUUGGAAUAGAGGGCCAUCCUAUGAUAUGCCUUACCAGGACUUUUCAAAACUCUCAAGGACAUCAAAAGCAAGGCAAGACUGAGAAACAGUCACAGCCAAGAGAAGCCUAUGAAGACAUGGUGAUGAAAUGCAAUGUGGUAACCUAGAUGGGAUCCUGGAACAGAAAAAGGAUAUUAGGGAAAUGCUAAGGAAAUCUGAACAAAGUGUGGUCCUCUGUUCUCAUACCUGGAACAGAAAAUUUUGUUCUGUGAAUUUUCCUCCUUGUUUUUCUUGUCAAGGUGCUGCCCCUGGCCUCCUGCCCCAUCCAUAUCACUGCCCUUCUCCUCAUAUCACUCCUGCUUUGGGGGACCUCUCAAUGUCCCUCAUUCUCAUUAAUUUUUUCAUGGAGCAUUUUGGGGACUCUUUGUUCCACCCUGGCUCAUCCAGUUGCUCUUAAAGUGACAAUUGUCUCUUCUUACUGUAAAUGAACAAACUGACUGACUGUUGUGAGCUGAUCCUCAGUCCAGAUCCAGCUCACCCUAGUAGUUUCACCACAGGGUGAAACCCUGUCUCUACUAAAAAUAUAGAAAUUAGCCAGGCAUGGUGGCACCUGCCUGUAGUCCCAGCUACUUGGGAAUAGUGUGGCCUAGCUCAGGAGAGUGGAAUUGUACCAACUGGAGCACUGCCCAUCAUGGAGAGAAGGGUUUGCUUAUCUUUCAAGGCUUUAUCUCAAUAUUAACUAUAUGUUUUCCUCACAAUGGACAUUAAACUACAUCUAAACUAUGUAUUUAGUUUGGGAAAAAGUAACUUCCAGUGCAGUGCCAGGCACUGAGGACACUCAAAAUUGCCCUUAGUAAUGAACCUUCUAGAAAUAAGUUGAGUUCACUGAGUAGCAGAUUUCAUGGUAAGCUUUCAAAUAUCAUUGUCCCUGCAGAACUUAUGUUCAGAUUGAAAAGUGGGUCCUGAGCCAUGUUAUUCUUAUCAAGGCCAUCCUAACAAAAAUAAGGGGAAGAGAAGGAAAAAAAUAGUUACACUUUUCUGGAGUAGCAGAUGAGUUAUCUCAUUUAAUCCCCACAACAACAUUUUAAAAUAGAUAUUUUUGUCCCAGUUAGAGGCAAGGAAGCUGAGAUGUGCAUAGUAGUAUAGCCUAUGAAUGGCCCAACCAGAGUCCAGAGUCCAGCUGUGCCUGACCCCAAAGCUUUGACUCCAUUCAAAGUCCUGCCCCCUCACUGUUUUUCCAGCAGUCCUGGUGGCAAUGUCAUCAGAAGUACUUGACUUUUUCCAUGUUCUUGACUUGUGCUUUUAUUUGUUGCCAGUGCUUUCUACAGGUAGAGGUUUAAAUUUGCAUGUCAGUUUUCAUACUCAUCAGCAUCCUCCUUCCCCUCACACACCUCUAGUGAACCAGUGGGUUCCUGUGAGAGAUUCUGUGAGAAUACAUUGAAAGCCUGUUCAGGUCCGAUUCUCUUCCUACCCGAGAUGAAUCUAAGAGCCCAACCUCCCAGCUACAGAAGACAGCAUGGCUUUCUGCAAGCCAUUACAUAUUUUCUUAUGUCUUUUCCAGCUUUCUCAUAUGUGGCAGCUAUAAGAUGAAGGAAAGAAGGAGCAUAAUUGGGUUUAGGUGGGCAGCCAGGUAAAGAAAAAUAGAGUCAAGAGGUCGGUCAGUCCUUCUGGGGUCUCAGGGUCUUUUAUUAAGCCAUUUCAGCCAUGAACAGGGGGCAUGCCUUUGUGUUCAUGCCCACUAUGCCUUUAGUUGGCAUCACUUGGGACCAUCACUGUGUUAGUCCGUUCUCACACAGCUAUAAAGGCAUACCUGAGACUGAGUAAUUUAUAAAAGAAAGAUGUUUAAUUGGCUCACAGUUUCACAUUGCUGGGGAGGCCUCAGGAAACUUACAAUCGUGGCAGAAGGUGAGAGAGAAGCAAAGGCACAUCUUACAUGGUGGCAGACAAGAGAGGGCAAUUGAGUAAAGUGGGAAGAGCCCCUUAUAAAACCAUCAUAUCUCCUGAGAACUCACUCACUAUCAUGAGAACAGAAUAGUAGAAACUGCCCCCAUGAUCCAAUCACCUCUUACCAGGUCCUGCCUUUGACACGUGGGGAUUAUGGGGAUUACAAUUUGAGAUGGAUGAGCUUUGGAUGGGGACACAGAGCCAAACUAUAUCAAUCACCUAACCUUUACUGUCUGAGGGAAGGAGUGAUGCUGCAGACAGGAGUCAUCAAGCUGAAGACCACAAUACACACUGACACCUCAUGCUUCAUAUCUGUCUUAGUCCAUUCUGUGUGGCUGUAACAGAGUACCCAAGGAUGGAUAAUUGAUAAAGAAAAGAAGUUUAUUUGGCUCAUGGUUCUGAUGUCUGGAGAGUCCCAGGCCAUGGUCCCACUAUUUGCUUGGCUUCUGGUGAGGGCCAUGUCCCACAUCAAGACAUGGCAGAGAAGCAGAAAGGCAAGGAGGCAAAUACAGGGAGGGACCUCACUUUAUAACAGCUAAUCCAGUCUUUCGAGAAUGAACUCCCUCCUCUAAGAUGGCAUUAACAUACUCAUCAUAAGCGAUCUGUCUCCAUGACCCAGACACCUCCCAUUAGGCCCUACUUUGCAACAUGACCACAACAGCAAUCAAAUUUCAGCAUGAGUAUUGGAGGGGAAAACCAUAUUUAAACUGUGGCAAUAUCUUUAGAAGACUUCAACGGAAUGACUUUUGUCAUUGGAUGAGGGGAUAGAUUUGAACAGCUUUGUAGCAAACACAGUUGAUGCAACUUAGUGGGUUUAUGGGGUUCUUCUGAAUUAAAAAAUUAAUCCAAUUACAACAACGAUAGAAGCAGAAUUCUGCCAUUUGCCUUCUUAGGAGCAGUCUAGUUUCUGUUAAACCAUGUUAGGCUUUGAGACCUGAAACUUAACAGCUGUGUAGAGUAAUGCACUGCUAGAAUGUAGUUAUCCUAUUCAGCCAGAACAAUUUUGGGAGUAGAUAGAGCUUUUGUGGUUGAGGCCACAAACAUUCUGCAAAAAGUUCAGACUCUCUUAAUGGUAGAAAUCUGUCCUCCAGGAGGGGGCAGGCAGUACCAUUGAUGGAAAAUUUGCAAGGAAGGAAUUUGUUCCUAUAGCACUAUUACAAUGCAAUAAUACACAAUGCAAUUAAAGGAUCACUGUGGGUAAAAAGAGGUUGGGAGAAAAAGUAGAAACCAGUAGAAGCAAUCUAAAUAAGUGAACAAAAUCUCCAUCAUUUCCUUAUUAAAGAGUAAAAGGCAUUGAAGAGGUUAUUUCCUGCCUUCGAAUACUCUGCAGAGUAGAAACUGAAAUAAGUAGGGACUUGGGCUGAGAAAUGAUCUGUGAUAGCUAAGUCACUACAGAGAUAAAUCAGGGAUUGGAAAAAUAAAGCCAGUAAGAAUCAAGUUACAGGUAAGUUACUUAAUAUUUAUAGAGCUGCUUUUCCUCAUCUGUCAUCUCCUUCUCAUCAUUAUUAUUAUUGUCUAUAGUAUUUCUCUGACAGCACUUUGAGGAUUGUACCUAAGUGGCUAAGCUAAAUGAUGUACACGCUAUUAUCUGUAAACACGUGUGUGUGUGCACGCGCACACACACACUCUCUCUCUCUCUCUCUCUCUCUCUCUCUCUCUGUUAGAUUUAUUUCUACUUUCUACAUUUUUCAGACCUGAAAUCAAUCUAAGAGCUUGGGCCUAUCUAGUCUACAGGAGGAUGAAAGUUGUAAAGUAUUAGGUUGAAUCAUGUGAAAUUGUCUUUGUAAGUCAAAAACAGCCAAACAUCAGUCAUUUCAUAUGAGUCAACAUGGAAAAUUCUAGAUGUAUCACAAAACGUAAUGAAAUGUUAUCCAUUAUCUGGUAGUAGUUACCAAGAUGAAGUUUCAUGCUGGAAGAAAUUAAAAAGUCCUUCUGAGGUGUGUCUUUUGUGCCAGGCAGAAGCCACCCUGGGCUCUUAGCCAUUGGCCCUGUCUGAAAAUCAGAAGACCUGUGUUUUACUUAGGUCUUCAUUAAAAGAUGUGAUAAUUAAUUAAUACUCUCCCCCACUCUGUAUCUUUUUAAAAAUUUCUACUAGUCAAAUAAAUAAAUGUUGAAGGGCUUUGAAAAGCUAAAAAUUAUGUUAAAGUAACCACAUCAUCAUUUCGAAGUGUAGGGGGAAUAGAUUGAAGGCUCUUCAGAAACAGGAGAAUGGAAUCUUGAAUAAUAGAACCCACUCAGAUUUCUCAAUUCAUUCAGAAUAGUAUAUCCACUAGCUAAUACAGGUAGGAGAUUUCUCCCCUUAAUGUGAGAAUGGGCCUGCAGAGCUUGGCUUAGAUAAAAAUGGAGACAUAAUCUGGAUGAUACCAUAUUUUUUUAAAAUUAACAAUAACUGUCGCUUUGUGCUGAGAACUGUAAGGAACAAAUGGUUCUGUAUGUCACCAGUUUUAAUGGAGACAGGUGGUGUGCUCGGCUCUGCCCUGGGCGCUUUCCUCACUUGCAGAGACUGCUAGUGUUGCCAAAUUCCAAGGUGGUUUAAGGCUGCACCAAUGAAAGCUCCAACCUGCUUCUCCUGUGAACACAGUAGAAUCUAAUCACAACUCAUUCAGGAUUGGAUUCUCAAGCAACUGGGGUCCUCAGAGAUGCUUGGAUUGCAUUUUGCUAGCUGGUAUUUUUUCACCAGACAAUGGGGCUUCAGUCAAGCUCUUUCAGGACUUUUGCUGAGAUUUUACUUGGAGGGGAAAAAACUUUACGAUAGAAUUUGAAGAACACAACGUGAAGAAGGCAUAUGCCAUUUGGACCAGCAUUUUUUAUUUUACGUGAGAGUGAUGUGGAGGGUUUUGGGGAAAGGGUGGCUAGAUGGCAGGCACAGAGAGUGGAGAAAGAAACUACAAGCCCUUUCCCUGUGCCAGGUACUGGGCCGUAACAGUGCAUGCAUUAUAGCGUGGAUUUUUCACAGCGUCCUAUGAGUCAGGGGGCAUUGAGACCCAUCUUAGGGAUAAAAAGACUGAGCUCUGACAGCAGAGCACUCUAGGCAGUACUUUGGUGUCAACCCCUGACCGCAAAGAAAUGAGGUCAUGACUUUUUUUUUUUUACCAUGGCUUAGUCCUAGAUUAAACUACAGCCUGGAAAAAUCUAUUUGUCACAAAAAUUAUGUAUUGAUCUCCUUGUUUGAUCCAGAAAAAUUGCUUUAAGGUACAAGGGGCUACAUGAAUUGGAAGUUAAAUCUAUUAUUAUUUUUUUUCAUUUAAGAAAACCUGCCCUUUAGAGUUGGCCAUUUGUUUCCAGCUUUUGUGAUUUCCUCAUCUUGGAGCAAAACUUCUUCAUUCUGCGAAGACCCACUUGAGUAGCCUCUUUUAGCUACGUAGAUAUAAAGCUAGUACCUCCUACUCCAGAGUUUGAGAAACCUGGAGGUCCGUACAUGGGUAACACUGGUCAUAAGUUUUCAUACAAAGCUGAAAGUGAUGAGCUGAUUUGCUUAACACCUCUUAAGGAGCAACCCAUCAUAUUCUGUUUCCCUCUGAGGCUCUGACUUGUUCUCAUGGCUAGGGAUCUGGGUGUCACACAGCACUGGAGUUGUCAGAAGGGAGGUUGCUGAUGCUGAAACUUCUUUGGCUAACCUGCCUUGGCAGAGCAUCUGGCCUGAAAUGACUCUGAGGAUGAGUGCGUUUGUGCGUGUGUGCGUGUGUGUGUGUGUGUGUGUGUGUGAGUGUGAAUUUCAAGAGCUGUGUCAACAAGCAGCUCUAAUGCUGGGAAUGCAGGCCUACUUUGGGGUAGAGUCCAAGAAAGUGAGGCUGGGAGAGAACAAUCCUCACCCUCUGCUGCCUUGCUGGUAGCAGUGCGGGGCCUUGGUUCCCAGGACUCUUGUUGGCACUGAUAACCCGUUAGGCCCUUGUGUUCUGAGAUGCCUGCUAGCUGGCAGGCCCUGGCACUGGAGGACUGUGUUUUUAGCAGCACCACUGUGGGUGUCUCUGUGGCAGAGCAUGGGACACUUAACCAAUUGAUUCAACUGUCUUCUUCCUCUUCUCCAAAGAGACAGUAGCCACGUCUGACUACUUGGAUUGAAUAGGGGCUCCUAAGAUUCCCAUUCCAUCAGACUAGGGUUUCUCAGGAAGAAAGGCAUUUUUAUUACCAAAUGAGGACUCGAUCUUGGAGUUAUAUUGUUUUUACAUCAAAAUGUGGUGAAGACGCACUUGUCUUCCUAAUAAAAAUCCUUGGAUUUUAAACAUUCCUUUGAAUUCCUCGAUGCUGUUUGCUUUCCUCCUCUUAGAAAAAUGGGAGUCUAGCACACUUGCUUAGCAACUUCCAUUGUGGUUUAUAACGCUGUUCACAAAUCAAUUGCUAAAACUAUGUUAUCACCAACAGAUAGGUAAAAAAUGAAAAUAAUUUGAAUUUAGUUUGUUCCAAAAAUUUUUGGCAGCUGUUUUGAAAGCUCUAGUUCUUUCCCUUCAUCAGGCAUUCCAACUGCUUUUUAUCUUAGAUACGUUAUAUACUACUGAACACACACAUAUAUGUUCUAAAAUUAGCAUCAUGAAUAUAUUAUUUUAUAUCCUAAUUUGUUCCCCCAUAUAAUAUUAUUUCAUUAUUAUUUUUCAAAAACAUGACUUUUAAUGGCUGCAUUCGCUUGUAUAAAUGUGCCGUGGUUUAAUUAAGCAGUGUGUUGGACACAAUGGGCAUUUCCAUCUUCAUCAUUAGAAAGCAUUCGAUGGUGAACAAACUUGCACCUGAAUCUCUGUGAUCUUCUCUGAUUAUUCCUUUAAGGUGGACUCUUGAAUAUGAAAGUUUUAGAUUGGAGAGCAAGUUUAAGCAUCUCCAUACCUAUGUCACACAGUUCCAGAUAAGAAUGUGAAGCUUACCAUAUUCUUGCCAACAUGUAUUCUAAUUUUUUAAAAAAUGGUUGCCAACUUGAUUUGUAAAAAACGUGUAACUUUACUCUUCCUCUCUUUUUUUUUGCUUUGAUUGCCAUUGAGUUAAACUAUUUUAUUUUACUGAUACUUUGUAUUUAGUGAAAUAUCUAAUAAUGUUCUUUAUUUUUUCCAUCAGAGUAUUUACCUUUUAUUAUUACAUUAUUUGCAAGUGUUAUUUAUAUUUUAGGGAUAUUAGCUCUUUGUCAUAAUCAUAGCAAGAAUGUUCCUAAAAUUUUUAUGCUGUUCAUUAACAUACAAAAGCUUUUCUUUUCACCCAGUCAAACCUAUCAGUUUAUUCUUUUUGAUCUAUUUCAUUUUAUUAAGUGACAAAUAUGAGUAAUGUAGGAAUAACACAGCACAGCAUUGCUAUUCCUUACAAAUUAUUCAGGCAAUAGAAAAUCUUUUCCAAAAAUAAGUGUUUUUACUUUCAAUCUGCUAUUGCUCUUUUCUCAUGCUUGAGAAGAAGUGGGCAUUCCUAACACACUCCUUAAGAAGCCUUUUGGAGUCACUCUUCCUUCCGUGUUUCCCAUUCUGUGCUGAAACAUUUUCUAUUUUUAUGAAAUAUGUGUGCUGCCAUACCUAUUUUCCUGUGAGACAUCAUUCUUCUCCCCCUGCAGGCUUCUGAGCAGAGGAAAAAAAGAAAAAGAAAAAGAGACAUCAUUCUUCUUUCAAAAUUAGGCAAAUCCUUGACUGUCCUCAUGGAUAAUUUCGAUUUCUGUAAAUGUUUAGACAUUUAGACAACUGUUUAGACAUUUUAAUAUGGUAUUUGUGGCAGAGAUUGACUCGCUCUUCAUCAAACAUAUCCUCUUCCUUCUGGUUACACAGCUAAGUCUCUGGGUUAUGGCACAUAAAAUGACUGUAUGAGCAGAAGUCAUGUGUGCCAGUUCCAAACUUGGCCCAAACCACACCUUUGACCAGGCACUGUCCUCAUACUGUUUCUAUGGUGGCUUUGGAAGCCCAGCAGUGGAGUGGUGGAGCCACACGAUGGAAGGCUACUGGGACCCUGAGUCAUCACCAGUCAGAACCUUGCCUUUGAAUCUGUGCAAGGGAGAAAUAAAAACUUCUCUUGGAUUGCACCAAUGAAAUUCAGAGGGUUAUUGGUUAUAGAAACUGGUGUUACCUUAACUAAUACUGUAUUCUUGUGGUCAAGUUAGAGAAACUUUAGAUUUGUAAUAGAUGAUAUCAUUGGAUGCAAAGAAAGUAGAUUAAUAUAAGCUGAUGUCAAAGCGGAGGGAUAUGUCUAGAGGCAUGCCACUGAGUUCUGUCCUUCUAUUCACAGGUGAGAGGUGGUCAGCAGUCUGGAAACUCUAGAAUAAGAUAGUUUGAAGAGAGCCAUGAUCAAUAUUUUCAUAUAUCUCAAGAUUUUUUAAUGCAUGGUUUAAGAGAAGAUCAUUAUAACUAAUGACUAGAAAUUAAAGAAAAGCUUAUUUUAGCUCAUAACAAAUAAUUUAAAAUAAUAGGUUGUACUGCCUUGGAAACACAUGAUGUUCCAUUCAUUAUAAGAAGCUGGUUAUUUCCUGUCAUGGAUUUUUUUUUUUUUUUUUUUUUUGGUAGAGACCAUUUCCUUUACGUAUCUAAGAUUCAAUGAGACUGUGAACUACUGUAUGACACUCUUAUCAUGAUUGACUUCUUAGUGAUAUCUUUCCAGAUGGUUUCUCUCUUCCUGAGAUUGUGGGGCUGAUAGGCUGUGUUUGUGAUGCCCUCAUUUGAAUUCACAGUAGCUUGUUUUGCUAAUAAGGAACUUACCUUUUAGAUCCACUGUUAUCAGGUUUGUUUUUCCG